rnacentral:lncRNA from 1 species
GUGUGUGUGUGUGUAUUUAACAAAUGAUAUUAUUUACAUUAAGGGGAUGAAGGAGUGGGCUAAGUCGCACAAUGGGCUAACAAUAAUAUGAUUCAAAUUCGCAUUUGGCAAUAAUCGAACCUGAGAUCUCUCAUUUACUAAGUGAAGAAGAAUACUACUAGACUGUAGUACUAAGUGACAACUGAUUAUAUUAUUAUAUUUGGUGUAACGAGUCGUGUGCUUAGUACAAUGAAAAAUCUUUCGUAGUUUUGGGCAGUGGAAGUCAUUUACUGUAGUCUACUGCUCAUACAAGAAUUAUAUGCUUAUAGUUGUAGAACGAUAGUUAGAGUUCAUCUACAAACAAUUUACUCUUCCAAACUUUGUAAUUAGUAUUUUGAUCAAUUUACCAAGUUUUUACACAUUAAUAUAACGUAGGAAAAAAAAAAAAAAAGAGAUGACCAAAGUGGAUAAAUUAAUUUAUCUAAAGUGGUUCGAAAUUGGCAAUAAAUCACCCAAGAGAGAAACAUCAAACUUAAGCAUUAAGUAUGAUGUUAGAAAGGGAAACAAGGUGGAUAUUUGAGAUUUUUCGGAUAGCAUGAGUACAAUACAAGCGUGACAAAAUUCGGCAAGGUGUAUAAAGAGUACUUUCUUUCCUGUUACGUUUUGGGAAUAUUACAAAACAUUUAGGGUUACUUAGAAUCUUUAAUUUUCUAUUUAAGUCAACCUAUGAAAUUGUAUUCGCUAGAUCUGUUAUAUUUUCGAUUUAUGUUCUUUCAUCCUCUUGUUUUCGAUAAAUUCUAACUCGAUGAAUUUGUAACCCAUCUGAUCAAUCUAUGUGUGGAAAAUCGACUGAGAAGACGCAAAUAGACCCAAGCCACAAACUAACUUUUGAAAAAACCGUUACAAUCAGGUUCAGUCAAAACCCUUGAAGUGCCAACCACUGUUCCCGCUCCAAAGGCGUACCCGAUUCCGUACCAUCCUCUCUCCCUCUCACCCUCUCACCCUCGCCUAUUUAUAAUCUCCACCGCUUCCAAAUUUGACAAGAAAAAUCUCUAUCACCCCUUUAAUUUAAUUCUCUGUAUGUUUUUUCGCAUCUAAACUUCAACUAGCUCGCCAUAUACGUCAGAAACCCUAACCCUAAAGACCGUAGACUCAUAGUAUGUUUUCACGGGCAUCUUCGAGGGGAUCCUCAGGGUCCAUCCACCGGCUUUUUUCGGAUGUUAAAAGCCUCAGCUCUCGUCCUCCAUUCAACAAAUCGCAACCCUCCUCCUCGGUCGCUUCAUCGCCAUCUUCUUCUUCUUCUUCACUCAGCUCAUCGGUUGGCAGAUUUGGCUAUGGUGGCAGUCAUAAUGGUAGAUCAGGCUCCGAUAACACUUUUGAUUUGUUGCUGAGAUCCGUUUCUUCGGGGGUUCUGAUUCUCGGGACCAGUCUAGGGUUUUCGUAUUGGUCUUCUUCUUCUCUGGAUCCAAAUUCCUACGUUUCUUACGCUGAUAAUUAUCCCAAGGAGGCGGCAUUUGCAAUCGGCGAAGAUACAAACAAAACUCAGUUUUCCCUCUUUGAUGGUACCUUGUUUGUUUCUUUGUUUUCUUCAACUUAUCUGUGUAUCGUGUUUUCCGAGGUUUCUGUUAUGUUUUACCCUGAUGGAUCUCGUCUCAGUUUCAUAUAGGAGAAGAAAAUUCUUUACGUAUGAAAAGCGGCUCCGAGAUCAAAGUCCUCCGGAGAAGGUAUGGAUCAUGCACUCCUCGGAAAAUUGAUUUUUAUAAGUUGUAAUUUUGUUUGUUUGAUGAUUGUCGUGGUUGCAAACACUACAUGCUUGUGUUUUGUGUUGUGUGCUUGUGGUUUUCAGCUAUUCGACUACUUUGCAUCGGUUAAAAACCCCAACGGAGAGGCGUUUAUGACGCCGGCAGACUUGAUGAGAGCGGUGGUUCCUGUAUUUCCUCCCUCAGAAUCAACCCACGUUAGAGUGGGGUCUCUGAGAGGGGAGAAGGUUCCCAGCAAGCAGCAGUACGCUCCUUCCAAAUUCUUUAUGCUUUUCGACACUGACGGAGAUGGCCUGAUUUCCUUCCCGGAGUGAGUAAUCUUGAUACCACAAUGAUUCUAGCCUAAUUGAAAUUUGUUAAGAUCUAAAACAACGUAUACGUGUUCCUUCUUGAUAUGAUCAGGUUCAUCUUCUUCGUCAACCUCCUCAGCAUCCCUGAAUCGAGCUUUACGAUUGCGUUUAAAAUGUUUGAUCUCGACAACAGCGGGUGGGUUAAAAUCGCCAUCGCCUUCUCAGUCGUAAAAAUCUUUCAUUGUAAUGUACUGCUAGUAGAAAACUUAAUUAACUUGUUACACUUGUGAUUCACAGAGACAUUGAUAAGCUGGAGUUUAAUAAAGUCAUGUCCUUGAUGCGAUCUCAAAGCAAACAAAACACGGAUAGCCACAGGCUCAAUGUUUCUGUCGAAGACGGAGGCCUACUCGAGUACUUCUUCGGCAAAGACGGCAAAAAAAGUCUAAAACUUGAAAGAUUUGUUCAGUUUUUCCGGGAUUUACACGAAGAAGUAUGCGAUUUUUUCUUAGGGUUGUGAUUGUAUCAAGCUAUUUUUUCUGUCAGCUGAUCCUUUUCCUGUCUCUUUUUCUUCCUCUGUUUUCGAAUUUGAAAGAUUUUGCGAUUGGAGUUUGCUCACUACGACUUCAGAGCACAAGGAACCAUAUUGGCUAAAGACUUCGCGUUCUCCUUGGUUGCAUCUGCUGAUAGCGGUGAAAUAAACAAGUUGCUUGAUCGGGUGGACGAAAUUGAUAAUGACGCACGUCUUAAGAACAUAAGAAUCACAUACAAGGAAUUCAAAGAUUUCGCGGAGCUCCGUAAGAACUUGCAGUCCUUCUCUCUGGCCCUUUUCAGUUACGGAGAAGUUAACGGAGUGUUGACGAAAAGUGAUCUCCAGAGAGCUGCUUCCCGAGUACUCAUCUGAUCUGUCAUUGUCAUUUCUAGGUAGCUUCGUUGGUCAUUAACUAGUAGCUUAUUGUGCUAAUGCUUUGAUCACUUUCAAUUUAUACAGGUAUGUGGCAUCUCUGUUUCUACCAAUGUGCUUGACAUAAUAUUCCAUCUAUUCGAUGCAAAUGGUGACGGAGAUUUAAGCGCAAAUGAGUUCGUGAGAGUUUUACAAAGUCGGGGAGGCGAAACGCAAGAGACAGGCAUAAGGGGACUCCUAUCUUGCUGGUUUAAUUGUGCUGGUAAAGCUUUUGGUCAGAACAACUGCAGCUCUGGUUUCUAAGAUCAUACAUGGAUUACCUUCAACUCACGUAACCAAAUGUUGUUUACGGCUCUAAUCUAGGGUUGGAGCCGAAAAGAUGUAAUUAGCGAAUCUGGCUGGGUUUGUGAUUGAAGGAUUAUAUAUCACAGCAGGCUGAUCUUACCAAUUUUUGUAACCCUACAUAACCAUAAUCACUUCAAACUAAUACAUAAGUGCAGAUAUCUUUGUUAAUUUGUGUACCAAUAUUUUCUGCUAAUGGCGCCGAUUUUGCACAACUGAUACGCAUAACAUCACAGAUAUUUAGCAUCAAGGACAAGAUAAGAAUUGCAAAAUCUAAUCCGAAGAUCAUAACGUAUGCUAGCAUGAGAAACCAGUAUUCGGAAAGAAAUUUGAUUGAGGAAACACAUUCAAUGUCUUGACAUUGAUGGUCUUCAUUGGCUAUUUACACACAAAAAUACAUGCAUAAAUGCAGUGAAAGCAGACCAUAUCAAGACUCCAACUGAUCCGAAAAAUUCUCUCCGAAAGCCUAAUGCACUGCUAAUCGAUCAUAGCAACUACAAGGCAACAAAAGAAUUCAUCUUCUGAGGCUUACCCGGCUCAAGUGCAAGGCGAGGACAUCCCUCAUCCGCUCGUCACUCUCGUUCACUUGUCCAUCAAAAACAGGAAGCUCCUCCUCCUUUAAGCCCCUCACAUUGUCAUCUGGCAUCGGCUCGCUACACUUGAUAAGAAAGUUAUGCAGCAGACACCCUGUAACCACCACAAACGGCAGAAACUCAGCACACUCUUCCUUCCACUGCCUAGCCAAUAGCUGCCACCGCGCCCGAAGCCUCCCAAAAGCUGUCCCAACCAACCCCAUUGCCCGAUAAUGCACCGCAUUAAACGCCUUCUCCAUUGAACCGAAACUAUCCGCCUCAUCCGACCUUACAUAAGGUGUUAGAAGCCAUGGCAAUAGAGGGAAGCAAGAGUCCCCCAGUAUGUACUGAGGAAUGGAAUUCCCAUUCCCAAGCUCAAAAGCAGGACCACUGAGAAAUUCCCUGGACUCCUCCACACCCAAAUAAAGCUUACUCUGCCGGAAAAUUGAUUCCGGUUUCAUGGUAGAGGGCCAUCCGGCGGAGACAUCGAGGAACCUCCCCUCAGAAUCCACCACUGCCUGAACCAACAAUGACCCAUUUGCCCCCAGCAGUUCACCACCAACCCCAAAUCUCGAAAAACCUAAAACCCCACAGCAAUUCGGCAGCGAAAUCCACCCGAACGCCUCCAAGACCCGGGAUAUAUCUGACCGGAAUUCGAACAAGUUCCCCAAUUGAUCGUUCACCGCCUUACAUACGGCGUAAAAUGCGCGGCAGGCAUCCAAGGAGUCGAGCCCGAAGCGCCUUCCGAUCGCCUUGUAGCUCGCGCCGUGGGCCAGGCGGUAAAUUGCGGCGGCGAGGACGAAAUUGGGUGGGAUUGAAGGGAUUGUGGAGUUGAGAAAUGGGGAGAGGAGGGAGAGGAGGACGGAGAAGGAGUGUUCGGACAUGCGGAAGGUUUGGGACCAGCGGAAGUCGAAGUCUCCGUCUGCGGCGGUGGCGGAGAGGAAGCGGCUGAACCAACAUUCUAAAGGCGGCGGCGGUGGGCGUAAUGGCGAUUGCGGUGGUGGGUUGGGGAAGCAGAGGAGGGUGGACAGGGAGAUGGAGGCGGAGGAGAGGAGGGAUUCAAGGGUUAGGGUUUGGGCGGGAAGGAGGAGGAGGUCGUUUUGGAAGAGGAAGGAGUGAGCCGGUGACGUGGCGGCGGUUACGAGGCUGACGAGGUGGUGUUGAUUGAGGGGCUUUUUGUUGUUGUUGCCGUGGGUUUGGUUUUGUUUCUUGUUUCUGGCAUUGCCUUUGGUGGUGCUCGUGGCCGUACCGCCGACUCCGCCGCCGGCAGCCAUUGGUGGUGGGACUUUGGGAGUUUGAUUAGUAACGAGUCAGAUGUUGUGACGUAGUGUGAAAGUGAUUGUUGUGUGCCAAGUAUAAUUACUGCUGAUUACUAUGGUGUUUUUCCUUUUCUUGCUUUUUGGUCCUUCCUAAAACAACAUUUUCUAAAGUGGACUUUUUUUCAAUGGAAAGGGAUCAUCUCCGAAUCCCUUCCAUCAAAUCCACCAAGUUCAAAAAUUCGGACUGUUGAAAUUUGAUUUAACGGCUACAGUUAUUAUAACUUUUAAAGGGCCCCUUGUUUGUAGUCAUUAGAUUAACUUUCAACGAUCCGGAUCUCUGAACUUAGUGAAUUUGAUAGAAGGGAUCCGAAGAUGAUCCCUUUCCUUUUUCAAUGGCCACUUGGUUUUGCUAUAUUUAGAAUUUGGAAAAAUCCCCCUAGGUUAAAGGUACUUUGCUAGAUUCUCAUAUGUAACCCAUUCAUCAUGUCACGAUUGUUUAUUGUGACAAUUUUUAUAAAGUGAAAAUUGUUUAUUAGUUGAUGACACUGCUUAAAUUGAAACUUAAUUGUAUGAGAAAAUCUUUCAUUACCUUUACAAAAAGAAAAACUCUUACUCUUGAGGAAAAAAAGAGAAUCGUGACAUAUUGCUUCAAAUUAAGAUUCAAAAUUCGUGUAAUGAAUAAUUUUCCUUGUGUGUUCAUGAUUCAAAUUAUCUCUUUUCUAGUGUAGUUUAGAGUAAUAGUAUUACUUGUAAUUAGGAAUGGGCAAAUACCCAUUGGUUAUGGGUAAUCGCGGUUACCCGUCCAUUUAAAUUAAACGGUUACGGUUAUGGGUAACUAUUUAGAUAUAUAAAUGGUUAUUGGUAUAACCGUUUACCCGUGAAAUUUAAAUGGACGGUUAUGGGUAUUAACCGCGGUUAUAAAAAGGUAACCGUUUACCCAUUUAUUUUAUAUAUGUAAAACUAACACAAACCAUGUUCUCGAUUCAAUAAUACUUAACACCCAAUAAAUUAGCAAGGAAUUCAUCGGUCAUUCUCUCAAUAACACUACUACAGGAAUGAUGAUUCUCAUCAUCAAGGAAUUGCCCAAAUUAAUUUAAAUUCCUUGCGAGUAACCAUGAAAUUGACAGAAAUGUCUUCUAAACAAUUUUGUAAUCCAAUAAUACUUAGCAAAUAUUAUAUUUACCUUCAUUGGUAACAGUUAAAAAUAUCGUCCGUAAACUAUUAUUUCAAUUAUUAGAAUGGUAUAAGGACUUAACAAAUUAAAAUAUGAAAAUGUAUGAUGAAUAUACCUAUAACGGUGUUUAAUUGUAAAAAAAAAAAAAUUAUGACAAUAUUUUUUUAAUUUUCAAGUUGUUAAAAAACAUGUAGACGGGUGAAAAAAGGGUAAUGGUAAAAUAACAGAAGAUAAACGGGUUAAAAAUGAUAAAUGGGUAAACGGGUAUUAAACGGUUACGGUUAAAUGGGUAUGCAUUUAUGAGUAUGGUUAACCGUUUAUAAACGGUUAUGGGUAUGGGUAUAACCGUUUAGGCAAUUACCCAAUGGAUAAACGGUUAUGCGGGUAUGAGCAUAAACGGUUAUGGGUAAAUAACCGCGAUUACCCGCCCGCUAUAACCAUUGCCCAUCCCUACUUGUAAUAAAGAAAAAACUUCAGAUAAAGUAUGAAUAUUGCCAAAUUAUAAGGUCAUCACAAAUUGGUACUCAAAUAGUCGAAUUUGUCUAAAUCCUGAAACUCACUUGCCAUCUUCUGUUUGAACGAAUUUCUAUCUACAAAACAAUAAACACCAAAGCCAUUGCAAAACAAUAAACACCUUCAAUCUAGGCCAAAGCCACAUGCGUGCCCAUGAGGUGGAGGUAGGCCAUUACAAAACAAUAAACACCUUCAUUGAUUGAUUGUGAUGAGGAUUCCUUACUUUUUUGAGUUGAUCUUCAACCAGAAAUGUAUUAAAGAUGGAAUUUGGACCUAUCUUAAAUGCAUUUGACUUUUUCAUAUCACGAGCUUGGGAGCUUGUAUAGUCGUAGCCAGCCGCUCAAGCCACCACGGAUGUUAUAAUGCAUGUGAGAAUAUUUGUGUGCCCUGCUCAUUCAUUGAGAGCAAUUUUGUCUUUUUAUGAAAAAAUAUUCACUGUGUCAUCUUCUAGAUGUUUGGUAUUAUUUUUGGCUCUACACUCACGACAAUAGGAAAUGUAUUAAGAAUGUCAAUGAACAUGUUACUGCUAUUCACAAAGAUUAAGUGAAUCAAUACACAUGUUACUCAUCCGAAACCUCAUUAGCGGCAUCUUCACUAUCUGCGUCUGCAACCGGAUUAGAUUCUUCCUCUGCUUUGGUUUCCUUGUAAUCCUUGGGGAGCACGUUACAAUCAACGGUCUGCCAAACUGGUCUCUCUGAUUGGAAUGCUCUGUUGGGGAAAAACGCAGUCAUUAGAGCUAGUAGUAACAUACAUCGCAGAAGAACACACGCCACGAAACAUGAUGGAGCGGGGGAGGGAGGGAGGGAGGGAGGGAGGGAGAGAAGGAGACUCACGGGUGCUUGCAAAGUGCGGGGCAUUGGAUUGUAACUGCAUACUUGCAUGUGGAUACCUCUGUGAUUGAAUUAAUCAUAGCUCUGCCCUCUGAGCACACAAAUCUCACCUGCAAAAUGCCAUAUGAAGUAAGGACCGGAUGGAGAAAUGCGGAAGGGAAUGAAAAACUACAGAAAUAUAGUGACGUCAUACCUCAGUCUCUCGUUGCAGGUCUGUAAGAUCACAAGUAGUCCCGUUUGUAUAUUGAUGAGCAUGGUACCUACAAGGCCAUACAAUCGUAUUCAAUCUCUCCUUUCUUAUCCGCAGAAAUAUUUCCCUCAAACUUGCCCGACACAUUUUUGUAAAGGCCAAAUUCCAUACCUUUGGUAUGCGUCUUUUGAGCGUGGAUCUUUGAGUGUAGAUAUGUCAGAGAGGUUCCGGUUGACACCAGCAGUGGCCUCUGCAUCAUAUACACCCAAAACAAAUUCCUGAACCACCUGUAAUAAGAGAAGAAAGUACCCAAUCCACGAGUAUUAUUGUGAGGUUUUAAAUUUUCUGAAAGCGUUCCAACAAGAAAUGAGAAUAUCUAAAAAGAUGAUAAUACGUUAAUAACAACAAUGAAUUGGAAAAGAAAAGGUCAAGAACGUAACAAAUGGAACAAUGACACCGCUCUUGUAGCACAACUACUACAUAUACCACUGUAACCACUACAAGGAUGGGGGACUUGUGGGAAUGCAUCAAAUACUGUGUGCCAACCCUACAUCAAAGGCCAAGAUCACUAGAUAAAUGUGAAAGUUAUUUACACUUCCGUGUAUAUUAUCCCACUUCCUCUCGUUGUAUGCAGUUAUAACAUAUUACAAAGCAUCCAAAAGAAAUAAGAACUAACAAUAGAAGGAUAGAACAUUUAAAUGAGAGCACUUAACAGGCACAUAAGACAAUACCUUAUCAUCUUCCACAUGAAUUUGUCGUAAUCUCUUGUGAUAGCAAAAUUCAUAUGACCACCAACCCUCUUGCUGCAUAAAGGAGUUUGUUAUGUUAGCGUAGUUUGCAGUAAAUGCAUCAUCAACCAAUGGGGGCACGGUAAACAUGUAUUACUGUAGUUUUAUAAGUUAUAUAACUACAAUAGUGAGAGUAUUAAUGUCACGGAUCUUACUCUGACAAAGCAUUGGUCCUCGAGUACUUCAAGCAGUUCAUCCGGUGUCUUCAUUUUAAUUCGUUUCUCAGUUUCCACAAUCAUGCUGCUAAUAUUCUGCUGAAGAACUUGCUUCCCACUCUUGGCCUCCUCCACCUUAGGCAAGUAGCAUAUAAAAUUUUGUCCAUUGUUAUUCAUAACCAGAGACUCCUGGCCAUCAUCCUGCAAUAUUCGUACCCAAUCAUUAGAUCAAGCAUACUACGUAUUUGUGACAAGUGAAAAAUUCACAGACAAAUCAGCGAGGUACACAGAUCUUAUCCAUAAUGUGGAACAAAUAGGUGACAGAAUCAUUUGUCUGAGUCUAUUAUAUGAUACGAUACGAGGCAUGGUUUUGCAAGGAGCAAAUGUCUAAUGCAUCGCUUAUUCUAAAGUACAUAAAGUGUGCAAUUUUGGGAUGGAAACUGUAAACGAAUUGAUAUAUAAUAACUAUUUCGAAGCAUGAAUAAAUCGAGCAUUUUCACGAUCAAUUGGAGAUGAUAAACUUACAAAACAAAGUAUAAAGUCAAGAAAUAUACUUAUUAAAAAAACUGGCAUCAAAUCUUAUAUAUGUGAAAGUUAAACAACAAAUACAAGUAAAAACAAUGGAUAUACUAAAAAUACAGUAUUCCUUACAGGAUGAAAAGGUGAGUCUUCAGGAUGGAAUUCAAUCCUGUAUUUUGGCUCACGAGAGCUGCGACGAAAUGUGCCACCUGCUCAUCAAACGACAAAGAAUCAAAGAACUUAAAUUUGCAGCACAAUAUAUCAAAUUAAACGAACAAACUUUCAUCCAUCGAGUUGAAAUGGUAACAAUUGCUAGACAGCCAAUUGAUCAUCAAAGUAGCCUACAUCAAAUUUGGCCCUUCAAACUAAAAGCUCAACAUGUAUGAACCCUCAGGUACUUUUAAACUAAUUAAGCUAGAAGCUGUAUGCUUUUAACUAAUUGCCAACUAACUGAAAAUUCCGCCAUUGCUUUCGAGCUCGGAAGCUGAUUGACAAUGAUUGGUAGAACGCCAAAAACCCAAAUCCAUACACACACACACACAUAUAUAUAGUUGAGAAAUUUGCAAAAUUUGGUAAGCAAGACAAGAUUUUGUAAUCAAAAAGAGAGAAAUGGCAAUGAAAAAAAGGAUGGGUUUAACAAAUUUCAGCAGAAACAACGAAAUUAUGCAAAGUAUGCGGUAAAUGUAUGGAUUUGGGAAGUGGGCAAUUAACCUAGGUGAGCUGGGAAGAUCUGAUCGGCGGAGACGAGGCAGCUCAGAACGUACAAAACUUGAACCAAAAACACCAACACCUUCAUUUUUUCAACCUCUUCAGAGAAAAAGAAAAGUUGCAGAAACCAGAGAGAAGCAGAGAGAGAGAGCAGGAGGAGGAAGAGGUAUUGAAACCUUCUGCUGUUGCUACGUCUCGAGGAAGAACCAGAGAGACGCAGAGCGGAAGAGGUAUUGAAACCUUCUGCUGUUGGCCAAUAAUAAGAUGCCGCGUGUACAUGGUAUUGCUGACUGGACUGACUAAGUCGAGGUGGUUUUUUUUAUUUUUUUUUUGUGAAAUUGUUGUUGGGCUGCAAAGCCCAAAAUUUUAAUUUGGAAGAUUGGAUUGGGUUGGGCUUGAAUUUGAAACUCCAAAUUGGUGGACUUGGGCUUGAAUUUCUGAACUACAAGUUGGAGGGGUUCGUACGUACCAUCGAAGGCAGCCUCAUAAGCAAAACAGCUUCUCCAACGAACAAGUUUUGAGAUUUGGAUCCCAUUCGGAAAACUCGCCGCACGAUGUACGAUAAACAGUUAGGAUGUGAGAAUCUUGGAUCCGGAGAGGAUCCUCAUCCUAAGUUUUGAUGUCUUGUGCUUGCAGCUUGCCCUCUUAUUUCAUUGCUAUUGUUUCUUGGUCAGAUCUAUUGACUUGGCUUGACAGCAAAACUUAAACAAGACACAACAAGGCAAAAAUGCCUCGACCACAAAUAUUGUAAACAAACAAACAUUCAAGAGGGCGGUGGGCGGUGGGCGGUGGCUUCUAGCUUUGCAACACGCUUGUCUUAACUGCUGACCUUUGUUCAGGAUAUCUCACUACAUUUUUAUGUGUUUUAGCUUAAUAGUGCGUGAUUAAUUUGUGAUACUGUUACGACAUUUUUUCAAAAAAAAAUUCUUCUCCAAACAAACGUUCAACAGGGAGGUGGGCGGUGGCUUCUAGCUUUGCAACAUGCUUGUCUUAACCGCUGACCCCGAUUUGGGAUAUCUCACUAUAUUAUCAUGUGUUUUAACUUAACAAUGCAUGAUUAACUUGUGAUACUAUUACGAAAAAUUAUCAAAGAAAGUUCUUCUCCAAAGAAACGUUCAAGAGGUUGGUGGGCCGUGGCUUCUAGCUUUGCAACAUACUUGUCUUAACCAAUGAUCCCGGUUCGGGAUAUCUCACUAUAUUAUCAUAUGUUUUAACUUACCAGUGCAUAAUUAAUUUGUGAUACUGUUACGACGUUUAAUUAUAGAAUAAUACUUCUCCACAUGUGUAUCACAUUCUAGAAACGUCUUAGAAGUAUACUUUAGUUUAUAGAGGGUCCCCCAACACGCUGUCUUAAUUCCUAAAAAGGCCACUACUUCUUGUCUUGUAAUUGUCCAUGUGAUUUGCCUUGCCACUCGCCGAGUCUGCAAAAACUUUCUUAUGCUUUGUGAUUUUGGCAGUUGAACUUGGCCCGCCAUAUUUGAUAGUUAGUUACUUUCCUUCACAUGCCCACUCAGCCACGUGGGCAACACUCUGGCAAAAAGUUGAGGUUGCCCACUUUUUCCAGUUGCAUGCUUUUCCUCCUGAAAUGACUAUUUUACCCCUCCAUCGUAUUCUUCUCCGUAUUUUUGCUUUUUCUCCUUUUUUUUUAAAUAUUUUUUGUUAGCCAAAUAUUAAAUAAUAAAUUUAAAAAAAAAAAAAACAACAACAAGCAAACAGAAGUCAAUUGCAAAUCCAAGCAGCUCAAUGGUUGGAUCUCUGGCCAUAGCUAAUUGAAAGAGAAAUUUUCAAUGUGUCGAAAAAACAAUUUGAUACAUCAAACAUCAUAAUAAAAGAAAUUAUAACUUCUUUUCAAUAUUCAAUUAUUUGUACUAUGAUACUUGUUAUACCGAGCUGGAUUAACGGCACAUUGAAAAAUCUCUCUAAUCAAAUAGCCCCAAGAAACUUGGAAAUCACGGAAACAAGGGGCCCACCAUCUUAAAUUUUUUAAUUCCUUACUCUUAUUUUUUUUGCAAUUUCAAUAUUAUAUUUUGAUGAAAUACAAAGAAGAUGAAAUUACAAGUUAUCAGAUUCUUCGUCUCUCUGGUUUUGUGGCGUACACGUUAAGCAGUGAACAAAGGCAAAAAUCGUGUCUUCCCGCAUAACAAAAGGAGCCAACGGACAUUGGUCGGUUUUCUUUUCCCCUUCCAUUUCUGGCAACAUCCCGUUCGCCCAGAGAAUUUUCUCUCCUUUUCUCGGCUGAGAUUUUCCUGGAAACGCCGGAGCUUUCAUUUCCCAGAUAAGUUUCUCUCUCCCCAGAAGCUUGGUUUUUCUCAAAGCUUGCUUUUUGAGCUGAAUUGGGGGCCGGCUGCUUCUCUUUCGGUUGGGAUUUGUUUUAAUUUGGUGGGCAGUGACAAAUCCUAAUUUGGAGGGAAAAAGUUGAUGAAUUUGUCAUUUUUAUGGUUGGGGAAAGAUAUCCCAGUUGAGCUUUCAAGGUAGUAGCUUCAGAUUUUCCAGGAGGAGGUUUUUUGGGUGCAUUUGGCUUCUGGGAAAAGUGCUUUUCUUUUGCUUCUGGUAUGCUGCUCUGUGUGUUUCUGAUUUGUUUUGUUGUUGCAUGAGUGAAUCGUGAGAAACUGUUUUGUGUUGAAUUGAGUUUUGGGCUUGGAUUCGUUUAUCUUGUGCAAAGGACUUGUUUGUUUCUCGGGAAAGUUGGGGAAACAGGAUAUUAGUGGUUUUAAUAAGUUUUGUUUCCCUGUUUACUUAAUUGGAUCAGGUACUGAGUUUUGAGCAUUGAGGUCUGUAGUGAGAUUACGUUUGAGUUUUCGGUGUAGCUCAAACGUAUUGUCUGAGUUGUUGAGUUUAUGAUGGGGAAGCAAAGAGGAAAAAAGAAGAAAAAUGCAGGAGAAAUUUCAGGUGAUAGUUCGAAUCAAAGCGAAGUCGGGGAUACUAGCCCGGAAGCCAAUGAUAAGGACACAGAAGCUUUCAUCUCGAUGUCUCAAGAACUGAAGGACGAGGGGAACAAGUUGUUUCAGAAGAGGGAUGUUGAAGGAGCUUUGUUGAAAUAUGAGAAAGCCCUCAAACUGCUUCCGAGAAACCAUAUCGAUGUAUCCUAUCUUAGGAGUAACAUGGCAGCGUGCUAUAUGCAGAUGGGGUUGAAUGAGUAUCCGAGGGCUAUCAAUGAGUGUAAUUUGGUGCUUGAAGUCACGCCUACGUACAGUAAGGCGCUGUUGAAGAGGGCAAAGUGUUACGAGGCUUUGAAUAGGUUGGAUUUGGCUCUGAGAGAUGUUGGCACUGUCUUGAACCUGGAGCCAAAAAAUGUCAUGGCAAUGGAGAUCGCAGAACGGGUGAAAAACGUACUUGAGGAGAAGGGGUUGAGGGUGAAUGACACAGUAAUUGAGUUGCCUCUGGAUUAUGUUGAACCAAGUCAUGCUUUGCAGCCAGGGAAAGUAAUGAAGUUGAAGAGUCGGAAGAAGAAGAAGGGAAAAAAAGAUGCUGGGAUGAAGUCCGAGGAGAAUUUUGAGGAGAAGGCUGAGGAGAAGAUCGAGGAAAAGAAGGCUGUGGACGUAGCUGAGGAAGAGAAGUCUGUGGAAAUAGCUGAAGACAAGAAGGAUGUGGAAAUAACCGAGGAAAAGAAGGUAGAGGUCAAGGUAGUUGUGGAGGAGACAAUCAGCAGCAUAAAGGAAGAAGGGCCUAAAAGAAGUGUGAAAUUGGUAUUUGGAGAGGAUAUAAGAUGGGCUCAGUUGCCUGUAUAUUGCACCCUCCUGCAACUAAGAGAGGUUGUUCGUGACCGGUUUCCAAGCUCCAAAGCAGUUCUUAUCAAGUAUAGAGACCAAGAAGGUGAUUUGGUCACAAUAACUAGUAACGAAGAGCUGAGAUGGGCUGAAGGAUCAACAGAAUCGGAAGGGUCUGUCAGGCUUUACGUAGUGGAAGUUAACCCCAAGCAGGAUCCCUUCUUCGAGAAACUGGAAAUCGAGGAAAACAGGCAACAUAGCGUAGCUGAGAAUGGCGUGGUAAAACACAAGGAUACAAAGAGGCCACCUUGCAUUGAGGAUUGGAUAAUCAGUUUUUCUCAGCUGUUCAAGAACUAUGCCGGGAUUGAAUCUGAUGCAUACUUGGAUCUUCAUGAAUUUGGCAUGAAGCUUUAUUCGGAGGCAAUGGAGGAGACAAUCACGAGUGAAGAAGCACAGGACCUGUUUGACAUAGCAGGAAUGAAGUUCCAAGAAAUGGGAGCUUUAGCUCUGUUCAACUGGGGAAAUGUUCACAUGGCCAGGGCGAGGAAGAAGGUGUAUUUCACCGAAGAUCCUUCGAAAGAAUCUAUCAUUUCAAAUAUCAAAAGUGCAUACGAUUGGGCACAGAAAGAAUACAUACAAGCAGGAAGGAGAUACGAAGAAGCGCUGCAGAUCAAACCAGACUUUUAUGAAGGCUAUCUGGCCCUCGGGCAGCAGCAGUUUGAACAGGCAAAACUUUCUUGGUAUUAUGCUAUUAGCAGCAAUGUUGAUCUGGAGACGUGGCCUUCCACAGAGGUUCUGCGACUUUAUAACUACGCCGAAGACAAUAUGGAAAAAGGCAUGCAGCUGUUUGAGGAAUUGGAAGAGCAACGCCUGACUGAACCGUCCUGUCCAAGUAGUGUCAAGACUCAGGUGCAGAAAAUGGGUUUGAACGGAAUUUUCAAAGACGUAUCAUCAAAUGAAGCUGCAGACCAGGCUACAAGCAUGAGGUGUCAGAUCAAUCUCCUAUGGGGCACUAUGCUCUACGAGCGAUCUAUUGUUGAAUUCAAGUUAGGACUACCUGUAUGGAACGAAUGUUUGGAAGUCGCAGUUGAAAAAUUUGGGCUCGCCGGGGCUUCACCAACAGAUAUAGCAGUCAUGCUCAAAAACCACUCUUCAAAUGAUAAUGCAUUAGAAGGUGAAACGACUCAAAGUUUUGCACUCCGAAACUAAAUCAUUUGCUGCCAUUUCUUUUAAUUACCUUAGACAUUUAAGUAGCUCAUUUUUCUGUUGUUGCAGGUCUGGGGUUCAAAAUUGACGAGAUAGUUCAAGCUUGGAACGAGAUGCAAGAAGCGAAAAAGUGGCAGACUGGAAUUCCAUCAUUCCGGUUAGAACCAUUACUGCGAAGACGAGUUUCCAGAAUUUAUUCUGCCUUGGAGCAUGCUUGAGCUUCACGGUAUCAGGUUUGGGUGCUUGAAAAUGUAGCAUUGCACUAGACACUUUCACAACCAUGUUCCCACGGGUUGGAUCAUAUAAUCAUGCACAUUGAGGUUGGCAUGAUCUGAUUUCUUUACAUCUUGAAUUCGUUCUAUUUCUUUUGGUUGCUUUUCGUGUCACGCUUAAAACUUCGUGUACAAAUUCAUCGUUGAGUAAUUCACAGUGGCUCGCCGCUCGUCUGUUUUGCAGGUUUUCUUGCUACUGCCCUGUAAACUACAUUCAGGCUUCUAGCUAUGAUCUAUUAGUUUUAUACACAGUGGAUAGUUUGUGGAUUCAAAUUCUGAUGUGAGUAGAUUGUUCAGAAACCAAGUUCUUUUCUUUCUCUUUCGAUCGUAAGGAGGGUCGGAGGUGAAGUUGCAGAUCUUCAUUUUAGUCAGUUUCUGCGUUCAUCUGCUUCGCUUUACAGUUUCUGUCCGAAUAUUUGUACUUGUUACUGAAGUGUCGACGUCGACGACGGCAUGUUCUUGAUUGUAUUUUUUGUGAAAUCCAUGUUAUUUUGGGGUUUAAUUCAACAUUAAUUUGAUAAAUGUAGUGUGUUUUAGGGGGAAAAUUUGUACCGGAAUACGAGGUUCAUGUUACAAACAUCACUUCCUUAUUUGUUCUUCCUCUACUUGGUGCGAUGGCAAGUGCCUUCGCCCAUGAGCGGUAGGUCUCGGGUUCGAGACUUGGGAGUAGCCUCUCCAUAAAUGGGGUAAGGCUAGCCGACAUUCACCUCUCCCAGACCCUGCGUAAAGCGGGAGCCUUGUGCACUGAGUACGACCUUUUUUUUUAUUACGUAGGUAAAAGAUCUUGCGAAAACUCAAUAAUUUUAUUUUUCAAAGAAAUUGUGACUAAAUAAAUGUUCGCCCCUCUUCAAAAUGACUUGCAAGAUUUUUCUUUUCACGUACGUAAAAAAUCGUAGAAAACUCAAAAAUCACAAUUUUCAGAUAAACUAUAAGCUAUAACUCAUGAUUCUCGAUCGUUUUCUUAAAAUUCUACAGAAUUCACUUCAAGAUCAAAGAUGAACUCAGCCAUUUGUUUGGCAUCACAUUGCGCCAAAUGUUUUUCCAUCCCCAAUUUCGGCACCCUUUAGAGUGACGGACAAAAUACAUAAAAUCUCAAACCUUACCAAAAACUUGGCGCAAAACCGAGCUAGUUUUAGAAUUCAUACAGCCGACCCCACUUAAUGGGAUCAGGAUUUGUUAUUAAUUAUUUAUCUUAAUCCAUUUGGAGUUAUUAACCUGUACACACAGCUAUCCAAGAGCAGAUGGCAGGCAAUUAACAUGGUAUCUUACACAGCUUCGGAUCUAUUCCGGCCGAAAGCUGACGAGAUUAGGCAGGGCAUCAGACUGAAGCUUCAUGAUCUCGGAUGCGGUCACCUUGCACGAUUCCAAGUUUAGCGCACGUAAGUUCUUCAAAGGCUUCAAGUGCUGCAAUCCGUCGUUGGUAAUGCGAGAAUUUGAAGCGUUCAGUGACACCAAUGCAGUCAAUCCUGCAUUUUUCAGACGAGAAAGAAGCAUGAGAAGAGGUACAGAUGAAAUUAAAAUGCCACGUUCGGUCGCUGAAAUCUGGUCAGAGUUACAGCAACAGAUCACUGAAGCAAUGCAGCAACUGCUCUAGGAGAAGAAAAUAAGAGAACAGAAGCGUAAAAUACCGGAAAUCAACUCCAAAGAGUUAUCGGUCAGGUUGCAGUUCUGUGAUAUAUUUAGCCUUGUAAGACGGGUGAGGUCUUUGAUAUUCUUCACACCGGCAUCAGUCAAUCCUCCACCGCAUAUUUCAAGAGAUUGAAGGUUCUUGAAGUCUGAUUCCACCAACAAAAAUAAAAGCAUACAGAAGUGUGACUUUAAAACGAGAAGAUUACCGCUAAGUUGCGAAAGUUAAAACGUAAAAUCAAAUCCCCCCCGUUCUAUUCUGCAAAUGUUAUAACAUACAUUUUAAACAGCUUGUUCCAGAAUCUGAAAUGUGAGCGCCAAAAAGGUCCAGAUGUGUCAAUCCCGUAAGACCUGCAUCAGCAAGGCAUAAAUUCUUUAACCAGGACAGAAGGCUUCAAGCUUCCACCAAACACACAGGAAGUGAAUGAAGCUAAAACAUUUGAAUAAUUUGAGUGGAAUUCGAUGCUUCUAUCGCAAGAUUUUCUCAACAAAAAGCCGAGCUAUUCCCUCUACGGCUUCAAAAUACACAAAAAUCCUUACUUGUAAUAACUGCAAGUCCAUCAUCAGUAAUUUGGCGAGAAUCCAGAUUAAGCGAUUUGAGAGAUGUCAAUCCAGAUAUUCUUUUCAAGCCACUGUCAGUUACUGGAGUGAACGACAAGUUCAAAUUUUCGAGAUUUUUCAAACCUGGAAGUGAUAACAAACAGCGUAAUAAGAUGAACAUGCACCAAAUAUUACAAGCUGAUUAGCAGAACAAUUAUGCGGUGCAGUUUAACUUUGUACAUUAAUGGCACCUUCAAAGAAUUUGAGCCACAAAAUAACAAGGUAGCUUAAAUUCAUAGCUUCAGCAUACUCUAUAGCUUACGCUGAACUCGGAAAACAUUCAGAUCAUAACUAUGCAACUGUGUGAUGCAAUGCAAUCAUCACCUGAGAGAUGACGAAGCCCACUGCUUCCAACUUCAGUAUCAGAUAGCUCCAAGUUCUUCAAGAUUGACAGCCCUUAAUAUAGAAACAACACCACAAAAUCAAAUAGGCGGCCACGUCUUUCGACCUCAAGCACUUCUAGCAAACAUUUCAUGCUAGUUACGAAUGAAACACCAUGUCCCAUUUCCAAACCAAUUUAAACAAUUGAAAAAAAAAACAGACCAUGCAGACUAUAACACUGUUAUCCAAGUGAAAGAUGGUAGAACCAGAAUAGAACCUUCCAAAUUAGCAAGCCCCUUGUCACCUAUCUUACAGGAAUCCAGGUUCAAGCUCUCCAAUUUUGUUAGACCUGAUACAAGCAAUAACAAAUAUAAACGUUUGAACAAAAGCAAAAACUUAAUAUAACAUACAGAAUAGUUGUAUGUGUGCAUGUGCGUGCGUGCGUGCGUGUGUGUGUGUGUGUGUGAGAGAGAGAGAGAGAGAGAGAGAGAGAGAGAGAGAGAGAGAGAGAGAGAGAGAGAGAGAGACCUUUUAGAUGCAUCAAACAUGCAUCUGUAAUAUUGUUGAAUCCCAAGCUCAAAACCUUCAAGUUUUUAAGUCCUGUAGAAACAGUGUGUAAAAGUCAAGAUUACCAACAAUUCAGCCACAUAAAAAUUAUAAAAAUCGGGUGAAUCGGCAAAAGAAUAUGGUUACUGCGGCAAACUCAAGAUUACCAGCUACUUAGCCAGUUGAAAAUAUAGAAAUUGAGCAAACCCGUUAAACAAAUAGCCAGAACCACGUGGCAACAAAAUUUGUCACUCACCCGAAAACUUAUCGCAUCCUUCAUCAGAUAGAUCGCAUCUGUUGAGAUUUAAGUAUGCCAGGGCAACAAGAGCUGCAAUAGAAACAAUUAGUUUUAACCAAACAUCGGAUGCCAUACUCUUUACCACCUAAAAUAACAGAACAAAAAUUGUGCAAUAGAGACCUUUAAGAAGUUUGUCUUUUAGAAAUACUAAAGUGAACAUUUUCGUUGAAAUGUUGUCGCGGACUUGAGAAUUCUUAUCAGUGUUAUAAACAGAAUCAUUAGAAAGCACUAAACAGCAAAGAGAAAGCAAACCUGAAAUUGACUGCAGACAUGAGGCUGUAACAUUGCAUCCCUCUAAAUUCAGCAUUCUAAGCCUGUGCAAGCCUGCCAUGCACAAAUGUACCAAAAAGCUAUGCGUUAAAAAGUACUGAUAAACAAGCAAUAUGAGGUGUAUUUGUCAGAUGUGUGAGCGUGUGCAUCCUACUACACAAACACAAUUAAGGAGAGGGACAGCAGAAUUUUUGGUGCAUCACUAUGGAAACUACGGAAACAAUAUUAUACCUUUCAAAUAAGAAAUGCCAAAAUCAGUAAUGUUACAGUUGGAUAGCUGCAACUCAUUCAGCUCAGUAAGCCCUGGGAAGUACAAAAACAAGAGCAACAUGAGUUGAUCCAAACUGUGAUUUUGCAAUUAAGAAAGACAGAAAAAUUAAUGACAACACUACACAAAUUCAUCUAACAUUCAAAAAAUACCUGAGAUGGCCUUCAAAUCUGAAUCUGUGAUGCUUCUACAACAUCUUACAUUAAGAGACUUCAGUUUCUUCAAACCUGCAAGUAUACAGUUACAAUUUGUUAACCCCCUAUGAAUCACUAAUUUCAUAUACUAAAAUCUUUCACUAAUCACUCAAAUUGUAAACUCGUGACAGUGCAACAGAGCUCACGGCCUCAGUUAGAUUUAUAUACUCCUAAUUCUCAUGGCCUCAAGAAGUUCCAUUUAGUUAAACGGUCAUAAUUCAUUUUUUAAGCAGGACAAACCUUUAAGAUGAACAAAUCCACCAUGAAUAUCUGAACACCUCUCCAGGUCCAACUUUUCCAAGUUAAGUAAGCCAGAGAAAGCACUCAUCCCUUCAGCACCUAUUGCAUCGCUCCUUUUAAAACUUAAGGAUGUCAAGUUUGAAAGACCUACAAAACAAGGUCAGAAUAAGCAUUCACAAUCACAUGAAAAGUUUAACUGAUAAAAAAGACUAAGUGGAAUUACUAAGGAAAGGAUCAAAUUAAAUUAACUUUAUCAUCUCUAGCAAUAAACCGUAUCGUUAAGUGACAACUUAGCACAAAAUAAACAAGAUAAAUGAAAAAUGCUUAAAUUGGAAAAAUAGAAAAGAUACAACGAAUAGAAGACAGAGAUUUUACCACUUAUGAGUUUAAGUCCCUGUUCAGAAACAUAGUCACAGUAAUUAUAAGUUAAUGCUUGGAGGUUCGAGCAGCCUUUCAGAAGAGCCAACCCAGAAUCUGUCACCUCUGAACCGGAAAGAUCAACGGAAAGUAAAUGUGAACCUUGUGAAGAGAUGACACUCAUCCAACUAUCUUUCACAUCAGGGUAUUCCCCCAAACCAAUAUCCUGCAAUCACAAAAGAAAAAGAAAAAUCUAAUACAUGACAAAGCCCUUCCAAAUUUCCAAAUUUCAACCACCUACAAGCACAUUACCUCGAGGGCGCAAUCUCUAAAAGCUUCAAGAGAAACAUCAGUAAGAGAAUUGGAACAGACCAAUUCAUUGAAUAUCUGUUGACUAAGAUCCCUUGGCAGCAUCGAAAACGAGCUAUAUUUGUCAAUGUCCUGUAACCGAUAUGCAAAUACAAAUCACAACCUGAAAAUUACUACACAUAUAAUCUCCUCUCACAACACAGAUAACUUCAAGCUUACAUUCCACAGAAAGCAAGUACCUGGCAUAUUUUACGAAUGCACAAUUCCAAGAGAGAUGGGCAAGCCCCUGCUCCUCCUGGAGGCAGCUCUACAGCGGGUCGAAAAGAUGAAUUCCUCAGCCAUUUUGAACUGCUACUCUUACCAUAUCUUCCAGCCACGACGCUGCGAACUUCAUCUUCAAUGACCGGUUGGUCUCGCUUUCUUGAACAAAUUCCCCCCAUCAUCUAACUGCGGAUUGAACUAUCACUAAACCUCACGAAAAUUCGCAGCAAAAGAACUAAUUUCCGGCCUAUUCCAUGAAAGAGGUUCAUGGGAUUGAAAUUUUAUUCACCCUGGAAGGUAAAGAACAAAAAGUAUCAUUGUAUUUACAUCACAAAAGUUACUGCUAAAACGAAAAAAAGGAAGAUUACCAGCAUCAAAAAACCAACUUUUGCACACAAAAAUCUUCACUUUAUGCAAAUAAAACGAUCAAACAAGUGCGAAAGUUACUUAAAUCGAAAACGGAAAAUCACCCACAUCAAGAAAUCAACGUUUACACAGAAAAAUCACCACUUUCUACGAACAAUCGAUCAAAUAAGUACGAAAGUUUAAAACUUUACUCUUGGGUUCUUUCAGUUUUGGUGACACGGUCAUAUUUUCUCGGAUACCAAACAGAAACUGAGUGCAAAAGUAUCAGAACAGAAAACCCACCGAUCAACUAGCAGAGCGAGCUGAGAGAGAGAGAGAGAGAGAGAGAGAGAGAGAUUGGAACUGAAAUAUUAACAGAGGAGGGGUUGGAGUUGCGACUUGGCAGGAGGAGAGAGAGAGGUGAGGUGAGAGACGGACCUCACCCCCAUCUGAUCUUCGCCACGUGGCAUUUGGCGGGGAUUAGUCAUUCUUUGUCUGCUGUAAUCGCAACUAGCUCAAUUGGGACAACGAGAGAGCGACACGCCACUGAAGGGCCAUGGCUUCUGUGGGUCCCUCCUCAGUCGGUCCGGCCCCACUGAGAGCGUCGUUUUCUUCUCUUUUCCGCCGGCGGGAAAAACAAGGCGCUGCCGCGUGGUAUGGUAGUACUUAGCAGAAGGAUGAAACAAUGGGCCUACUUAACCCAACAAAGCAUAAGAAAUUAGAAGGAGAAAAUGAAGGCUAAAUUUACUCUAUUAGCGGUUUCGUCUCGAAAAAACUCGUAGAGACAUUUUAGUCUCUGAUAACCAGUCUUAUGAUUUAGAAGCACUAAAAAUUGAACUUAAAAUGUGCUGUAUAAUAUACGGGCCUAAAAUUCGUCAUCAACCAUUGAAUUAUCUUGUAAAGCAAAUAUUAUAUUAUAAUGUUAAUGAUAAUCUGAAUCUGUCUCUAUCUAGUACAUUUUUUAUAAAGUGCGUAUUACACCGUCAUGUAUUAUUAUUAGUAUACGUGUAUAAUGUAACUCUCACACUUAAAGUUAGUAGCAUGAUGCAUAUUGAGUUGUGGUCGAAUUUACUUGGCGUGGAAGGAGAAUAGUCUCAAACAUAAAUGAUAAACCGGUGUGGUGAAGAAGAAAAGAAUAAUAAUUAUCUUGCAAGGAUUGCUUAGAAUCAUACAAAUAAUAAUCAUGGUUAGCAAUGAUGUUAAAAUAAAUAUUAAUCUUAUGAUUUGACAUGAUUCAUUCAGAUUUCAAUUUAUUGUAGGUGGGUUAGUGGAAGCCCCUUGUUUUCCUAAACCUGCCUCAACCAAGCGUCGGUGAAAGCAGAAUAAAAAUCAGACAUAAAACGAAAUUUGUCGUACCCAGUGCACAAGGCUCCCGCUUUACGCAGGGUUUGGGAGAGGUGAAUGUCGGCUAGCCUUACCCCCAUUUAUGGAGAGGCUGCUCCCAAGUCUCGAACCCGAGAUCUACCGCUCAUGGGCGAAGGCACUUGCCAUCACACCAAGUGCGACCUCUAAAUUAUUAAGAAAAUUAGGCAUUUUGGUAAUUUUGGAUUAACAAGGGACAAAAUUAUUAAGAAAAUUAGGAAUGAAUUGUCAAAUUAAUCAAACUUUAUUAAAAGAAUAAUAAUAAAUGAUGAAACUUUUGUCAUCUUGUCAAUGUCUUGACCUUAUCUAGGGUUUAUGAGGCAGUCCCGUAGAAGCACAUAAAAGUGCUUGAAGAACUUUGGGUUUCGUUAAAAGCACUUGUGAGCAAAAGAGCUCCUACAAAAGCAGUCUCAAACGAAUGCUAAAUACAGAACCAAGGUAAACUAAAUCGAACUUCAUGAAAUUUGAAACCAAAUCACGACGUAUCAUUCGUUAUGGUGUAGUGCUCACCAACCAAGAUCUCACAUAACUCAGGGAAAAAGGAUUCAAUCUAAACAAACUUCGUGGAACUGCUUUUUUAAGGAGCGACAAUCACUUGCAAAAAAAGCUGAAUAACUCAGGGAAAAAGGAUCAAUCAAACAAAUUUCAUGGACCUGCUUUUAUAAGGAGUGACAAUCACUUACAAAAAAAGCUGAAGUAAAAAUAUGAUUAUAAUACACAACAGCUCUUCAGCUACACUCAGGCCAUCAAAAUUACUAUCAUGAAGCUACAACAGACCGGGCACUGUUCCGUCCCAGGCCAAGACCCAAUCCUACCGGAAUGUUUUCAGUUUUCGAUUUCCCGUGGUUGUUACUAUGGCUGCAAUGGGCAGAAUGAACGUGACCGUGAUGUGGUGUUGAAUUAGAAUUUACAUCGAUUGCAGCGUGACUGUUGCCGUUUGUGCGGUGAGAAUAGGCGUCCCCUUUCUGCAAGUUUGAAGAAUUUAUAUCCCUCAUCCCAAUUCCCUCCUCAUCAUGAGCCGGUUCUUCAAUGUGUUCCACAUCUUCGUUGUAACCCUUGAUCAAGAAAUCCGAACAAUUCUUCCUUAUCCCAUGAUCGAAUGGAUUUCUGAACCUACCACCUGGGCCUCGAAGGUAGUUAUAGCGCAUCAUGUUUGCCAUUUCGUUAGUUGUAAUGUUCCGUGAUAUCUGUAACAAGAGAGAUUAUUGACUAACAAAUCGCUAAGACACUCUUUACACAGAGCUGCUGUUGUGGGGAGAAAAAUAUCUGGAAAUAUUUAUACUUUUCCGAUCAGAUCAGAUCAGAUCAGAACAGAACAGUCUUCGAUAUUGGUUUUUUUCGUUUUCAUAUUGAGCAACUCAAUUUUAAAAAGAAAAUUUACCUGAGAAGCUUGGACAACGGUCAAAACCACCACGCCAAAGAAGAGGAAGAAAUCCAUUAUAAAAAAUGAAAGAGCACCCACAUGUCUAGUAGCAACAAAAUUGAUCCAUGCUCCAAAAGAAGAUGGACACAAUGGAUCGCUCGAAACUCCUGAAAGAAGAAAAUUAAUCUCCUUUAGCGGGUUGAAGCACAUAUGGCCAUGCAAACGAUUCUAUGCCUAGAGAAACUUCAGAAAACAGAGUUGGAAAAAGACUGGAACAUACUCAUAAGAGUAACCCCUCCAGUAAACACCAUCGCCAAAACUUCCAGAACAAGGAAAGCAAAGAAAUCCCACUUGUUUUUCUGCACAGCAUGAAAAAAAGAGAAAAUAGAUUAAACUAAUAUAACAUGAAAAAGUUGGAAAAACAAUCCAGAACACCAAAACUUAUGUCAUUGCACCUUGCCAAUGCAAUUGGAUACCCAGGGGCAAUGGUGGUCAAAUUGUUCAACACAACGAUCACAAGUUGGACAGUGCUUUGCACGAAGAGGCCUGACAAUCUGAUGACAACGCCAGCAAGUAUGUUAGGUGAUAUGUUCUAAGAACAUAAAAGGGUCAUAUAUAAGUACCACAGUAGGCAACCAAUAGUACCUUGCACGUUGCACAGAGCUGAGACCAAUUACCAGCUAGCAAGGCAGGAUUAUUUAUCUCAAUCUUCAAAAGAGGCUCCUGUUAAAAAGAUGAGAAACCAAUGUUAACAUACGGCAAGUCAAGAGCACAUUAUGAUUCUUAUCUAUGAUAUGACAGUCAUAAUAAUAAGCUUAACUGUAAGAAAUCCUAAGUGGAACAGCCUGAGAUGGAUUAAAAUAUUAUGCAGAAAGAAGGUGGAAAUAAGAUAAGAUGAAGAAAGGUACGGUACAAACAUCAUCUUUCAUAUUUUGUGAAUCAUGGACAUUCAUUCGGAUGUAACCUGGAUCCUUGCUGCAAUAAGAGCAAUUAAAAAAAAUAAUCAACCAAACAUUUAAUUAAGUGACAUUGCUCUAGAUGGCACCAUAAUAUCUAUGCAUACAUCCCCAAAACGAUGUGUGUGUGUGUGUGUGUGUGUGCAAGACAAAACAUGAAUUAUUAAAACGUGAAUUAUUUCCAUCAUUGCAGUCAGUCUACAGCCAGCUAAAGUAUCAACAAAACUCCACAAGUCUGAUAAUCAGAGAGUGAAUGCUUAACAUGUAGGCAAUUAACAUCAUAGAACUCAGAAAUUCUCUAUGUCGUACCUGCUGCAUCUAUAGAACAUAACAAGCCCGGAUGUUGCUAGGAAAACUCCUAGCCAUGCAACAAAAACUGAUCCAGCUGUUAAUUUUGGCAGACUUGGUGCUGCAACAAAGUUGGACAGGGGGAGAGGAGUCGGUAUAAGUAUUGUAUAAUCCUGACAUUAAGGGCACAUACUGAAGUUUCAUAUAAAGUUCAGGGCAGAUACCCAUAAUGACAGAAUGAGUAUAGGUCACCAGGAGCACAAAGAUUAUACACCAAAGUAGUGGCGCAAGUCCUAGUUUUGAAAUUCUUCCAAGACGACUGUUCCCAUCACAGCGUUUGUCAAGCAGUCUUCUAGCAUUCCCCUACAUAAUCAAAUUUAUCAGAGCAUGAUCAGUUCUUUCCAUUCUUUCAUUUACGAAUUCAACUGUAUACACAUUAUAUGUAAGGCUCAAACCGAAUAGAAGCACCAGACUAAAAAAGAAAAACAUCUAGGAACUUCCUGUUAAGUCUAUAAAUAAAACUAUAGUGAGAACAGAAGAAAACAACAAAACCAAUAUUCUCCACUCGUUAGAUAUUACGAGGCAUUCUUUCUAAACAUAAAAGUCCCAGAAAAGAACCGAUCAAAAGUUUAAAGGAUUCAUCAGAUCAUUGCACAGCUUGAAAACUUAAGUCCUCAAAUUCAUUGAACAAAUAAGAACAUUACUAACCAAUGUUAAAAGUGUUUGGUUAUGGAACACCUACAAGGAAAAAGGCAACUUGUCUGUGAUUCUUAUCAGCGGCAAGUUGUGCUGGUGUAAGGCCAGUGUUGUCUGUAACCAUUAAGUCGUCCUUCUUUCCAGCCUGUACCAACACUGUACAUGCCUCCAAGUUACCCCUGAUAGCAGCCCAAUGCAAAGGAGUGCAACCUGAAGUCACAAAAAAAGGUAAUGAAUUAAUAAUUUUGCAUAAUAGGUGAAACAAAAGCACAUUUCAGCAUCUAUAACCUAGUCAUAUAAUAAUGGAACGGAGAUGGUACUAACCCUCCUUAUCUUGGCGUCCUUUAUAUGCAUCCAGAAAUAAAAGAAGACGUAUACAAUCAGCAAAACCUUUAUAAGCAGCCCUAAACACAAAAGGAAAAGAGUGAAUCAAAUUUACAUGAUAAAAGCAGAAACAUAGUGCACAUUUUCCAUGUAGAAAAUAUAACAUAUCACUGGAAAGGGGUAGGGAAGUAGUUACUAUUCACAAGAAAUCAAAAUAUAAUAUUGUCACAUACCAGUGUAAAGGGCUUCUCCCGUCAUUAUCAGGCACAUCAGGGUCAGCAUUCCAUUUUGAAACAAUAUGGUACAGGAAAGCUGUCUGACCAUAUUGAGCCGCAACAUGUGUAGUCUGUGAUCAUAUCAAAUUUGAUCAGUUAUGUUUCAGGCUCUUUCAGCCAACUUAUAGGUCAAAAUGGGGCCCUAAAGCUUUUAGCAAAACCGUGAGCCUAACACAAAACAAGCGUGCGAAACAACGUAAAUUUGAGUUAUCCACUUUCAGUUUAAUAUUGUUACAUUGUAUCACUACAUGUCAUGUCUUUCAGUAGCCACAACUGAAGAAAAUGAUUAGCUGCUGGUUGCUAAUAUUGGAUUUGACUAAAAUUGAUCAAAAUUACUAGCAACACACAUGACCCAAAAAUCUUUAGUUUAUGGAAUAACUACAUGAAAAUUCCAUUUUACAAUGCGAAUAUCGUACAUAGACUCGCUGAUACUAAGAUACAGAUAUGAAUACAGAUGCUGGUGAGAAGCUUUACAUACCAAUUUUCUCUCCCAAAAUCCAUAAUCAACAAACCAUACUAUUUUCUUAAGCAGGGUUAGUUAGGAUUGUGAAUUGGAGCAUGAAGUAAAACUGACCUGAUAGCCAUACAUAUCGACAGCAUUCACCCGAGCACCCUCUUGGAGUAAUAGCUCCGCAACCUGGAUUGCACCACGCACCGCACUCCAGUGUAAUGCUGUUUGCCCCGUAUGAUCUGUGGCAUUCACAUCUCCUCCAUGCUGGCAUUUAACAAACCCAAGUAACAUACUUGUUAUACAAACUUAUCCUGGAUACGAUUUUGUUUUCAAUAAAAAACAGCAACAAUCAUAAAUAACAUCAAGAAAAACCAAUAGCAACCUAUCCAAUGCUAAAUUUCACCUUUUUCUCGUACGAAAUGGUCAUUCUAAAGCAAAAAUCUAUAGAACGAAAAUUUCAUUUCUCGGUUUCUUUUUCCAUUUCUUAAGAUAGAAGAGAAGAAUUAUGAGAAAAAGGUUGGAUUUUUAGUUAACCAAGUAGCACAGAAUUUAUCUACAACUCCUCGAAUGAAUACGAAAUCUCGGAUUCGCAUAACCAACUUAAGCACAUUUCAUAAACCCAUCGAAACAAAGAAAACCCAAUUCACCUAACUCCAUGGAAAUGCAAAAACAAAUAAAAAUUGGGAGCAGAGAGUGCAUGAAGAACCCUCACCUCAAUAAUAUACUGGGCGGCGGCAGUGCGGUUGUUGAGAGCGGCCCACUGGAGGGCAUAGUAGCCGAGACCAUCGGUCUCGGAAACAGAGCAACCCUCACACUCCACCAAUCUCUGAAGCUUCUCCAAAUCCCCAUACGCAGCCGCCGUAUACACAUCGUUUCGCAGACUCUCUUCCCCAAUCCGAUUAGCGUCGCCAUUGUUGUUCGUUGAAUUGGCAGAGACGGAUCCAGGAUCACCGGUUUGGACCUCAUCCUCGACGACCUCGAUCUCCGACGACAUAUCUACGGGCAAAAACCAAAAAUUGAGCAGCACGACCGGCGGAGCUGGCUUUUAUUUGGUUUCGUUGACCUUCAAUUUGCGAUUAAAUAAAUCAAUCGAAUUGGGGGUUGGGAAUUUAGGGUUUUCAGCGAAGCCGGCCGUGUUGACUGGGGUGGUGGAGAGCGAGACGGAGAGAGAAGAAGAAGCCAAAUGAUUUGCCUAUGGAUUAUCAUUGGUCAAAUUCCAAUAUUUCAUUUUUGGACUAAUUGGAUUUUUAGUAAUGUAAUCAUAACGUAUUUGGAAAAUAAAAAAAUUAAGAUUUAAAUUUUGCAUAUUUAUUAGUAUUUAAUGUCACAUCCCCCCAAGGCGGACCACUUCCCGGGCCCAAGGCAGACCACUUCCCGGGCCCGGUCCACUUCUCGGGUCCGCUCCACCACCGUAGCACGAUAUUGUCCGUUUUGGGCCCCGACCAUGCCCUCACGGUUUUGUUUCUGGGAACUCAAGAAUAACUUCUCAGUGGAUCACUCAUCACCAUGCCCUCACAGCUUUGUUUCUGGAAACUCACGAGUAACUUCUCAGUGGGUCACUCAUCAUGGGAGUGCUCUAGCCCCCUUCUCGCUUAACUUCGGAGUUCCGUCGGAACCCGAAGCCAGUGAGCUCUCAAAAGGCAUUGUGCUAGGUAGGGAUGAGAAUAUACAUUUAAAGAUCACUCCCCUGGGCGAUAUGGGAUGUUACAUUUAAGCUUAAAAUUUAAAGUUUUGUUAAUUUUUUAUUAAUUGUUAGCAGGUGAGGCUAAAAAGGUAAAGUUAAUAUCAUAUGUAUGUUCACAUACUGAUAAUUAAUGAAGAGUUACACAAAAUAUAUAAAUUUGGAGCUAAAUCCUACUUCACUCUAAUAGUUUAAUCCUAAUUUUUGUAUCACAUGGGCUAUUUUUUACUACCUAAAAACAUUAAGCUCGAUUUGAGUCGCUUUUAAAAAAACCCAAAGCACUUCUAAGAAGAAUGUUUUUGGAUUUCAAAGACACUUGAAGUGUUUUUUUGCAUAAAACACUAGUUAAGUGUUUCUUGUAACAAGCACUUCAAGUACUUUUCUAUAAUUCACUUAUAUUUUUAUUAAGAAUUAGUCACAAAAAUAUUUUCAUUUUUAACCAUUUUAAAAACAUUUUCAAACAUUUGUUCUAAAUUUUUGUUCGACAUUUCCCAUUUUGUUUUCCACUUUUAUUUAUUUUACAACUGAUAUUUUAGCCUAAUUACCAAAUAUAAAGUCAAUCAAUAUCCCAAGUGUGAAAAUAUAUCAUGUGGCAAAAGUGACAUAUUAAAUACUUUGUUCGCUUGUAUAACACAUGAAGAUAUAUCACGUAGUAAAAGUGUGACAUGUUAACCUGUACUUGAAAGUAUAAGAUCUUGGUUUGAUUCUUGGGAAUGGUAAGAUAGUAACAACAUUAUUAUAGUUGGUUCAUUAUGCAAUCUAGUCCAACCCAAAAGCAAUGUUGAACUGAAUUAUCCUGUAUCAUUUAACGCUCCUGGAGACGGGCCUGGACCGCUUGGUUUGGCAGUUGGAGACGGAGUUUCUAUUUAAAUACUAAGAGUUUUAAGUAGAAAUUUCUAUUUAUUUUGUAAGUAUUCAAGUAAUACUUUUUUAUUUAAAUGAUCCGAAUUGCCUCAUCUUUAAACGCGAGACAAUGGGAUUCAGAAAGAUCUCUAUGCUUCCAUGACCUUCGCAAUACCCAAUAAGUCAACGCAAAAUUUACCCAAGCGACCGAUAAAAUUACCUAAUCAGCAAUUAGUCAGCAGAUAUAAAUCUACCGUGGUGGCAGUAGAAAUUUCAGAGACCAAAAAACCCUAACCGGACAAAGCCUCAGUGGGUUUACCUUCUCCCCCACUGGACCAGACAUUUUAGCCCGAACCCAGAAAACCCUUCAAAAUUAUCCGUCCCUUUCUCCUUCUCUCUCUCCUCACACACACACUUUCUCUCUCUGUGUAUCUCUCUAUCUCUGUUUGUGCAAUUUUUGCUCUGAUUUUUUGUCUAUUUUUGAGGUUUUUUUUUUUGCAGCGAAGAAGAUGGAGUUGUGCGCCUCUGAGAAAAAGGGCAUCUGGGUUGGCUCUCUUUUGGAAGCAAUGGUGGGCGACACUGUCGUUGCUGCUCGCAACUCCAUUGCUCUGCUGCUCCUUGCGGUAUACUUCUGUCUCUCUUAAAUUGCUCUUAUUUGUUCAUAAUUUUGUGUGUGUAAAAUUGUGACAUGGAUUGAAGUGUCAAAGUUUCAAGCUUUUGUUGUGUUUUUUACUUUUUACUGCUCGAGAUCUAAAAAAUCUGCAGCUUUUUUACUGAACUAUUAUUUCAGAAUUUGGGGCUUUUUUUUUUUUUUUUUUUGGCUUUUACCAAUGGUUUUGAAAUUUGAAAUUAGAAUUUUUAUUUAUUUUUGAUAAAUUUAAGGGAUGGAAUUUGGUAGUUUUAUGUAUUAGGUUGUUUGGGGGAGAAAAGCCCUUUUUCUGCUUAUCUUUAUUUUUUUAUUUUUUAGAAAAGCACUUUGUAUUAUUGAUUGUAUGCUGUCUUAAAACUUGUAUUUAUUUCAGUCAGCUUCUGGAGAAUCUGGGUUUUUCUUGUUAAUCGUUUGCUUUCAUUCUAUUUUUUUAAUGUAGCAUUGUGUUAAAGUUGCUUUCUUUUGGAUUGUUUGUCGAAAUUUUGUGUAGAAACUAAUUGCUUCGAUGUAAUGUUACAAACUUCUUGACGCUCUUUUCCUAAUGUUCUUGGUUUCUAGUUGGUUUUUCUUGUGAAUCGUUCGCUUUCAUUGUUUUCCUAAUGCUCUUGGUUUCUGGUUGGUUUUAGCUCACACAAAUUUUUAAUCUUUUUCAUAUGCCGUGAUUUCUAUUUUAAGUUCAUGAAUUAUUCUACAUUUUGUAAAUUAAUACAAUGAGCAGUCAUAAUUCCUUUUCAUACUUAUAAACUUAGAACAGUAGAUUACUAAAACGACCUAAUUUAGACCCCGUCAUGAGAACAGAGUAUUGCCGCAAAGAAAUUUGCGCAUACAUUGCAUAUAUGGUGUUACCAUUUCUGCGUUUAAGAUAACAACGCAGCACUAUCCAACUUUCCUAACACUGUAUAAAUGUAAUUGUUGUUGGGCUGUAGCACCGGAUUUUACAUUGACCACAUAUUUCGGUAGUUUUAGUUUUGAACAUCUGGCUAAGGUUUGUUUAGUUUAUCAUAUUAUGGAGUGUUGUAUGCCUUGUAUUGGGAUUUCUAUUUUGCUGUUGACCGGAUUUGGUAUUGUACCAUUGUUGAUAAGCUAUGAAGUAUGUUUUGCAAACUUGUUUUGGUUUGCUGGGCGUCGCCUGCUACAUUAUGAGCCGCAUGCCUAAAUGCCGUUUUAGAAUCCAUUUUAUGAACUGGGACAUGCAUGUUUAUGGAAAACGAAAGCCUUGUGUUAUUUGUUACUUUCUCUUUUUAAAAGCUGUUCACCAACACUAGUUAUCGCUGUUUCAGACUGGGGCACUGAUGAAUGGUAUCAAUAUGUCACCGGAAUUGACUGCAAUCACAGGAAGGUAAUGAAAUUGUUAUUCUGUUCAUCCAAUACCAGCAUCAAUGGUUUUUGAGGGUAUAAUCGAAUCUAAGUUGGUGACUGUUGCUUCCUUCUUCAGGUUUCCUUUUGAAGAACUUCUCAAAGUGGAAAAACCGGGUGCGGAAAACAAAGAUGCUAGUGAUACAGAGGAUGACAACGAGGAUGAAGAUGAUGAGGAGGUGGAUGACCCGGAGGAUGAUGAUGCAGGAGAUGAGGACUUCUCAGGUGACGAAGGGGCAGAUAAAGAAGGGGAUCCAGAGGAUGAUCCUGAAGCCAAUGGCAACGGAGGCAGCGAUGAGGAUGAUGAUGAAGAAGACAAUGAUGAUGACGAUGGUGAUGAUGACGAUGAUGAAGAUGAGGAUGGAGAAGAAGAGGAAGAAGAGGACGACGAGAUUCCACAGCCACCUGCUAAGAAGAGGAAGUGAGAAGAGGAGCCAGUCGUGCUUUGCCAUUGUGUUGUUUCGGUUUCGGUAAGGAGUUAUGAAGUAGUGAGGCAUAAUUUAGCUUGUCAGUUUGAUCGGAGUAGAAUUUACAUUCCUUGUCCUUGAUGAACCGCAGAUGUUAUUAGUUAUCGUCGAGAUACAUUGUUCUCGUAUGAGAAUCAGUAGACGUCUUUGAUGUCGCGUUGAGAAUCUUCGUAUGUUGUGUUAAACCUCUUCGAUUGAUUUAUAUAAGUUUGGGAUUCAUAAAAUUGAAAGAACCAACCGUUUCUUUCUUCUCUUGUUUGCUGUCUUGGAGAAACCAACUGGUUCUUGAGCUGUCCCGGAGAUCGUCGUCUUGAAAGGAACCAUCUGUUUCUUCAACACUUUCUUCCCUCGGGGGCGGGUCUAUCAUUACUCGCACUUGAUGUUGGUGAAACGAAAGAUGUGCAUGUGAUGAGAGAGAUACAAACAUUGUGAUCACCUACAGUAGCUGUUCAUUCCACCAACAGUUAGUUGCUAAUAGAAGUGCAACUUGGGUUGAACCAAUCAGAACCGGUUCAUAGUCAACUCGACUCUAAACCCGCACAAAUGGGUUUUUUUUAGUUAUAAUCUGCUCGAAUCCAACUCAAUUUCAACCCGUUCAUUGUUUGGUUGAGUUUGGUCGAUUAUUUGUUCGUCCAUCCCCAACCCAACCUAACCCAACUAACCAGACCUAAUCUAAUCAGAUUGUAACCAAUAUCAAUUAAUGCUCAUACUACACCGAAGUGAGCCAAGUCUAAAAACUAACGGGCUUUCUAUACAUAUUUUUAAUAAAUUACCCUUUAUAAUUACUUAAGCUUUAAGGGAAUAAGAAGCUUUGAUUAGUCAAUCUAUAUUUGUAGUCUCCAAAUCCUAAAGCUUUAUAGUAGAUGAAUUUAUGAAAUUAAAGUUAGCUAGCUUUAAUGCUACUUGGCUUAAAUUUUUUAGGAAUUCUUAUAAACUAAGUUGUUAUAAGAUUAAACUUGAAAAAAAUGGACAUCCCGAACCCAACCCAAUUAAACUUGAGUCCAAAUGAACCCAAAUGAACCCAAAUGAAACCAAACCCGAAUCAGAGCUCGAAUUGUAAAAGUUAGGAUAGGAUUGGGUUGACCUUCCAACCCGCCCGAGUUGCAUCCCUAGUUGCUAAUAUGCCUACGUUUGAUCUAGGCUGGGAUUAGUGCUAAAUAGUCCAAUCCUAGUCCCAGUCCAUUCAAUCAAACGCGCUCUCAGAGCUUGCACAUAUCAUGUUAACGAUGAACAAUUUACGCUACAAAAACAUAUAACGUGACAUUAGUGCAAUUUAUUACAAACAAUGGAAUUUACCGACGUCCUUGAGUUAAGAAAGUAUCGGAGUUCUAUGACAAUAGAAUGAGAAGAUGAAGUUCGGAACAGAAGCAGAGUACAGUGAUCUCGAGGAUUUGGAGACGUCCUCAUCCUUUGAUUCAUCGCAGAAUUUCUCCCGACUGAGACUCCAAUUGCGCUCCGCUGAAUAACCUACAAAGUAAUGGGUAUGCAACAACAAACGUUAAUAAAAGGCAUCCAGCAUUUGCAGAGUUCCAUGGGAAAGAUGCAUACAUAGACCACAUUCUGCAAGGCCCGUCAACGGUCUUUAAAACUGAAAGGAAAUGCUCAGCCACAGCUUUCGAAAACAUGAAUUCGCAUUCAACCAUCAAAUCUUUUUAAGUUUAAAAGAGAAGGAACAUGGUUGGCUACAAUACCAUCAAUGAGUAUCACAUAGUCAGACUAGCAUCGCUGAGGACGAGGAAGAACUAUGCAUAUAUAGAUUCGAAGGUUGAUAAUUUAGGUUAAGCAAGAUAUUAUGACAUUUGCGAAUAAAAGAAAUAUUUGAAUCAUCUAAAACUACAAAAAACAACUGGGUUCAAGGGUACUGGGGUUGAAGUCUUAGUCUAGGCAUGGCGGACCAGGAAAUAGAAAGGGUAAAAUUAUCGAACUCGUUGUUGCCUUUUUCAUCUCCUUCUAGUUUGAAAGCAAACAACGAUUUUCCGCUCGUUGAAAGAAAUCUUAAAAACUCAACAAUGAAAUGAUCAUACUUGAAUUAAAGCUGAGAAGCGAAUCCUGCACUAACUUGAUCUUUACUUAAUUGAUCAGACAACAAUGCGAUAUCAGCAUUUUAAAGAGUUCAUUUCGUAUAAUCGACACAAAAUCGAAGGGAAAUCCAUAUUCGGCCAUACCCACGAAAGCUUCAAUCACUUAAACAACAAUGCCAUCUCAAUAAUAAACAUCCACACACAUGAUUCUACCACAAAGUCACCAAAUUCAAAUUUGUUGCAAUCAAAAUUCCUCACAACCCCACAUUGUAAGAUCACAUCAUAAGUAUUCAAUCAAGAAAGAACAGAAAUUUCCAAACACAAUUCAAUCACAAAACUUACCACAUUCACUCAGCAACGGGCAGCUUCCCAGCUCGAAAAGUCGCAAACUUUGACACUUCGGAGUAGGAAUACCGAACCCCAUUUUCCUUCAAAAAGUCCUCAAGCACCACCUUCACUCCUUCAGGGUCAGCACUCUCACACUCAAUUUCGUAACAAGUACCAAAAUCAUACUUAGUCUCAUCCACCUCCAAUUUCAAGCCCUUCCAAUCAUACACAUCCCUCACAUUCCUAAAUCCUCCCAAUCCCACAAACCCUAAAACCCCAAAUUCCUCCCUCACCCUCCUCAAAACCCUAGACUCCGCGGCCAUCAGCUUAUCCGGCUCGGCGACGCAGGCCCGCCCGAUCGAGUGAUCAAGCUCCUCCUCGUCCUCCUCCACUCGGCUAAUGCCAUCGACAAGCACCGCCCGCGCCUUGAGCGUCACGGCGCAGAGAGGACUCCUGUCGGAGAAUCGUAGCCGGAGAACGGCUAGGCGGGCCGAGAGCUCGGCUUUGGAGCCGUCGAAAAAGAAAUUCUCUUGGCGGUGCGUGGCGACGAGGAAUGGCGCCAGGAGGGUGGUGACUUGGCGGUGAGCGGCAGCGUCGAGGAGCCUGAGCUUGACCUCGACUUCCAUCAGAGCUUUGGGGAUUUGAGACAUGAAGGUUUUUUGAGGGCGUUCGAGCUUCGAUUACUGAGGGAGGCCGAUGCGGUGCGUUUUGGAGGAGGCGUCUUUGGCGCGGUCGAGGUGGUGGAGGAGAGUAGUGGCGGCGGUGGUUGUGGUUGUGGUGGACGAGGCGGCGGCGCGUAGCUUGCGAGCUUCUUCGAGUUCGUCUUUGUCUUCGAUUUUGAGUUCGAUCUUGGUUGGCUUUCGUCUCAGCAUUUCUGCUCUCUCAAAUUUCCUUCACUUUUGAUAUCCACUGCGUAUUUUAUACGUUUUGGAUUGGGCCUGCUAAGUAGUAUUGGGCUUUGAUUCACUGAGGCUCGCUCGGUAUCGUUUUUAUAAGAAGCACUUUCAUCAUAAGCAUUUCCGUAACAUGUGCUUUUAUUUGAAAGAAAUAUAAUUGUUUUUCGAAAUUUUAAAUCCUUCCUGAAAAAAAUCUUGGAAGUGCUUUUUGAAGAAGCACAUGAGUGAUACUUCUCCAAAAAACGCUUAUAUAAUCAAAAUUGAUAUGUAGUUAAUACAUGUUGCAUAAUAGUAAAUCCCCUUGUUUUGAAAAAAAAGGGACCAGGCUGAUCAGCUGGUGGCCAAGUUAUGGCAAUCUAGUUUUUCGGGGGUCGAAAAAGUUUAUAGAUGCAUUUCAGUACCUCUCUGUCCACUAUCGUGUGAUAAAUCCCUUUGUUCUGAAACUUAUUUUUAAGUUUUUCUAUUUUAUUAAAGAAUAAAAACUGAUUAAUUUUAAAUGCAGUGAUAAGAUCAUCACUCUAACUGAAGAGAUUCUUUAAGCAAAUUUCAGUUUCAUAAAUUCACAUUAAACGUUUCAAAAUUUUCACAUAAAAAUAAUAAACUAUUAAAAUCUCCCAUUCUUCAACCUUGAUCCUCAAGCUCCCCAGCACCAUGGCGGCAAAAUCCCCAGCAAAAUACUCAAUGCUGUUCUUGCUCGCGGCUUGUGCGGCAAGCAUAGGCGUAGCACUGUCGACCGCACCGCUGGCAGCAUCACCACUACCCAUCUUGCCGCACGGCCCCUGGGAGUCGGGACUUCCAAGGACAAGGACAUUUCCAGGUCGGCCCGGCUGGAAAGAGCUCCGACAGUGCUGGGCUCCUCUCCAACAUGUAACAGGCUGCGUCGACCAGAUUUACGAUGCGCUCUCCAACGCCCGAUUAGACCUGGUCGGGCCGGCUUGUUGUAAGGCCGUCGCUGAAACGUUUGACGAUUGUUGGGCCAAGCUGUUUCCUUUCAACCCAUCUUUCCCUCCAUCUCUUAAGAGCUUUUGCACCGCUCAUCCACCUUCACCCAGGUCAACUUGAAUAAGGUUUAUUGUGUCACACCGUUACAUCGUAUUAUUGAUCGACUAAUGUUAUAACUAGUGGAUCAAAUUAGUAAUCUUAUAUCCUAGGUCAUGCUAUAUCAAUUGUUACGACAAUAAUACGUAACGAUAUGAAUGUCACAUCAAAAUUAAAUUUUGCUUUUGAGAGAAUCUCACCCUAGUUAGUUUGCUUUUGCAUCAGUCUAGAGCAAACGAUGCUCUCUUCUCUUUUGUUUAGGUUGUUUUAUGUAGUAAAACUUUUUUAUUUAGUUAUGAUUCCUUUGAGAAAUUUGGUAAAAUGCCCCUUUUGCAGGCCGAAAAAGAUUUUUGCUCCUUUUUUUUUUAAAAAAAAAUUUAUAGGACUCGUUUAAAAGAAGUUUUCAAAUAACUAAAAACGCUUUUGGUGAAAUUGAUUUUAGGUUCCAAAAGCAAUUUAAGUGUUUUUUUUAAAAAGUAUCAUGUAUGUGUUUCUUAUCGGAACAACUUAAAGGUGAUUUUUCAGGAUUCACUUGAAUUUUUACAAAAGAUCGGUUUAAAAAACAUUUUCACUAAAAAUGCUUUCAGUCAUUUUAAGCUAGAUUUAAUUAUUUUCAAAUUCUUUUAAAUUGCUUAGAAACAAUAGUUUAUGAACUCGUUUCAGCUAAAAUUUUCUCUUAUGAGCAAUGAAGAAUACAUAUAUCUAACUUCAUUUGUUAGCUAAAACUAAAGAGAAAUCUGAAUAUAUAUGAAAUCGUAAUCACGGUAUUAAUUCUUGUCUCUUUUUCUAAUCAUGUACUUUUUAUUUGUUCUUUUAUUUAUUCAGACGAUGGAACCAGCUUCGAAUUAGGUCGCUGCAUACACUUUUUAUAUACGCAUACUAGCAGUUUACAUGCAUUUGUAAUUACGUGAUAACAUUGAUAAGGUAUAUUGGUAUACAAUAUAUAUCCCAUUUCAAAACAAAACAUGCAUCAACCACAAAUACUAGGACUGAUCAUGUAUAUAUAUAGAACUAGAAAGUGGGUGUUGAUUAUGAUUAGCCUAAUCACAUGUUAAAACGACCCAUGUAUAUACUGGAUGGAUUCGUGAUGUCAUUUUUUAACAUAACUUUUGGCAGAUGUUUUUGUGGAACAUAUUCCGUAAUGUAUUUUAACGAUCCGAAUCAUUUAUCUUUUAGGGUUUUCCUCAAAAAUUAUAUAUAUAGAGCAACUUCUUAGCAUACUGUAACAAAAUCUGAGAAAAUGUAUAUAAGAGUAUCGUAAGAAACAUGUAUUUACCAUAUAAGACUUAUGUAUGUCCUUUUCUUUUGUUUUCCUUUCUUUACAGCUUUGUAACUUUCUAGAUAAUUUCUCAGACUGAGCCGACCCAUUUUGUUUUAAGUAAUGGUUUUGCGUGGGACUGCAGCUAGCAUGCAGUGAUGUGGACCUUUCAUGAGUCAUACUUUCGAUGUUCUUUUUGUUAAUACUAGAAAAUAAAAGAUCCUUUAUUUGAAAUGAAAUUCGAAUUUCUCACAAAAUCAGAUGUUCAUUUUCUUAAACCAAAAAAAUAAAAGAUCUUUUAUUUGAAAUCAAAUUCGGAUUUUUCGAAAAAUCCGACUUUUGGUCGAUCAAAUUCACUUCAAUUUGGUCUCAAAAUGUCUCUUUUGAAAGCUGAAGAAAUCCUAAGGAGGAAUCUUUCUCAAAAUAUGCCAUUUUGACCUUUAAAAUACCUAAAAUGUCCACAAACGUCAAUUUGAAAAAGUUGCGCGUUGGGCCUUUAUUUCAUUGCCAUGGCCGAACGGCUUAGUAGAAAAAUUUGAAAUUUUGAUAAAAUCAUCUUGAAAUACUCACGAACAUCCACCAAUUGAAAUCACUCCAAAAUUCAUCCGUUUGAUCACUUUUUGCUCCACAAGAAGUCGAAUGUUGUACAUUAAGAAUAUAUAAUAAAGUAUCAAAAUUCUACCAAAAUAACCAAUAAAUUAUAAUUAAGAAUAAGAUAAAAUAUAUGAUAUAAUAUCGACUCAUCAACAACCCUGUUGGAUAACUAUUUCGUUUUUAACUUUUUGUUUUCGUUUUUGUAUUCGCUUCUAAUUUAUUAAAUAUCCAGGUAGGUUCCUAAUAAUGUAGUAAAUGUAGUCAAGUUCUUUGUUCUCAUCCAAAUGCAAAAGGAUAGUAAGAAGCAGCCACCAAACUUGAUGCUAGUGGAAGACAGUUCAGUCAAUGAUGUGGUUGUCCUUCACAAGAAACAAAUAAAGCACCCAAAAUAUCCUCUCCUGUAUAUCUACAGCCUAUCAAAUAUAAAGGGUAUUUCCACGACCCUACCAUUAUUGUCCCUUGAAUAUUCAAGUGGUUGGCAUUUCAACUUCAAAGUCCACCACUUUUUCUGUUCCAAGUCUUCGUACUUCAAUAAUUUGCAUGGUCACUCAGAUAGAACUCCAUAGCCUAAACACUUGCAAAAUUCAGCAACUCCAUCAAAUUUUCAUGGAAAAUCUUCCUAUCCGUAAAACCCCUCCCCCUCUAUUUUCCGUGCUUGUUUUUCUCCUCCAUUUCUCAUCCCUUCACUUUCCCUCGUUGGCUUACGAUACCCCUGAUAAGUACUUCAUCAACUGUGGGUCAAAUGCUAAUGCCAACUUCAAUAACCAUGUCUUCACUGCAGAUCGUUUCUUCCACUCGAAGGCGACAAGCAGUAUCAAUGGCGGCAACCAGUCGAAUCUUUACCUUACAGCAAGAAUUUUCGAGCAAGAAUCCUACUAUAAGUUCGACAUCACUGAAAACGGUACUUAUUAUGUACGUCUGCAUUUCUUGGCUUUCGCCUCUUCCUCAAGUAAUCUCUCCGCUGCUAUUUUUGAUGUUUCGGCUUUUCCUAAUAAUUCAAAUUCUGGAUUCAUGCUGUUGAAGAAUUUCACUGCUAAGAAUAGUAGUGGCAAUUCUACGAUACAUGAGUUCUUUCUUGGCAUUGAUCCUGGCUCAUUUAGGAUAUACUUUACUCCUCGUGGAUUGUCUUUUGCAUUUGUAAAUGCCAUUGAAGUCUUCCUUGCCCCUGCAAAUUUCAGCCCUGAGAAUUACCCAAGUAGUUCCCCAUUAGUUCUACAUACAAUUUACAGGGUGAAUGUUGGAGGUCAUGAACUCGGACCAGAUGAGGACAAACUAUGGCGAAACUGGGAACCUGACGAUCAUUAUCUGUUGAAUUCAAACCCUGUAGGGGAAGUUGGACCCUCACAGAAGCCUAGGUACUUGGAGUCUAAAAAUGAUGGUUUUGUUGCUGCUGCUAAUUAUUUUAUUGCCCCAGAUUUAGUUUACGAGACUGCCAAAGUAAUGAACAAUGGUAGUAGAAACCCAUCCACUUCGUUCAACAUAACCUGGUCGUUUAAUGUGCGCAGGAAUGCUAAACAUCUUGUCCGAGCACACUUUUGUGACCUUGUUGGCCAAGCUGCCGACAUUGUUUUUAACUUGUAUUCAAAUGGAAACUUCAUUAAGAAUGUCAAUAAUUCUGUGUUUGUCAACCCGAUACCUUACUACUAUGAUUUUGUGGUGGAGUCUAAGGAGUCUGAACUCAUUAACAUCAGCAUAGGUCCUAAUGUAGAAAAAACUUCCACUAACAAUUCCUUUCUAAAUGGACUGGAAAUGUUGGAAAUAAUGGAUGAAUUGGCACAAAUUCCAAAUAUGAAAGAGCACAAGAGCAUAAAUGUCCCUGUUGUGGUUGGUUCAGUUCUUGGAGGUCUGUCUCUUAUCUGCAUUUUGGUUGUCGGGUUCUUGUUCGGUUUGAAAUACAGAAAGGCAAAGCAUGUUGAAACUUCGGAAUGGUCACCAAUGCCUGCAUUUGGGGGAGGGAGUACCCACAGUAGGGUCACUGAGGGAACGAUUACUGGCUCCCCUAUGACUUAUCUAAAUCUUGGGUUGAAGAUAUCUUUUGCUCAACUUCAGCAAGCAACGAACAACUUUGACACAAAAUUUCUGAUAGGCAAGGGUGGCUUUGGGAACGUCUAUAGGGGAACUCUAUCAGAUGGGAGAAUUGUAGCUGUCAAGCGAGGUAAGCGACAUGAACAUAGUUCAGGUCAAGGGCUUCCAGAGUUUGAAACAGAGAUAAUGGUUUUGUCCAGGAUUCGUCAUCGCCAUCUUGUCUCCUUAAUUGGGUACUGUGAUGAAGGGUCUGAGAUGAUAUUGGUCUACGAGUUCAUGGAAAAGGGGACCUUGAGAGAACAUUUAUAUGAAUCAAAUUUGCCUCGCUUGCCAUGGAAGCAAAGACUUGAAAUCUGCAUUGGUGCAGCAAGGGGUCUUCAUUACCUCCACAAGGGUGCAGCCGGAGGCAUCAUUCACCGCGAUGUUAAGUCCACCAACAUCUUGUUGGAUGCAAAAUGUGUUGCCAAAGUUGCUGAUUUUGGCCUUUCAAGAUCUGGUCCACUUGAUGAAACCCAUGUCAGCACAAAUGUCAAAGGCACUUUUGGUUACCUAGAUCCUGAGUACAUACUGACUCAACAGUUGACAGAAAAAUCAGAUGUUUACUCAUUCGGCGUUGUUCUCCUUGAGGUCUUAUGUGCAAGACCUGCUCUGGCUAGGAAUCUACCAAAUGAGCAAAUAAAUUUAGCGGAAUGGGGAAUGAAUUGCAAGAAGAACGGAUUGCUUGAACAGAUUGUUGAUUCUUCACUCAAGGGUCAGAUUGAUCCUAGCUCGCUAAGAAAAUUCAUCGAGACAGCAGAGAAAUGCUUGCAAGAUGAUGCUAGUGAUAGGCCUACAAUGGAUGAUGUACUGUGGGACUUGGACUAUGCGUUACAGCUCCAGCAAACCGCAAAGCAUAGAGAGCCCCACGAGGACAGCACAAUCAAUGCUUCAUCAGAAUUCGUAUUGCCAAAUGUUCAGCAUUUUCCUUCCCAUAGCUCUACAGCUAACCCAGAUGAUAUGACCUUUUCCGGGGUGGAUGAAUCGGACACGGCAACAAACAAAGUAUUCUCACAACUGAAGAUUGGUGAUGCCAGAUAAACCUGUGCAGUGUGUGAGGUCUGUAAAUUAACCUUGUUCAAGUAUCUAUAGAUUGAAGAGCUAUAAGCCUACAAGUUUAAGUGUGCCUUGUUAAUUUGAGUCUUACUAGCCACGGCGUGUUAUUCGCAAUGUACACGUUUUAAAUAUAUUUAUAUGCGUAAAUUCACAAAAGGAAGGUUAAAUAUUUGAAGUAAAUGGAUAAUUUAGAUCAUGCUAGAAGAAACCCCUCAUAAACCAAUUAAAAUAGCUGAAUUUACAUAGUAAAAUCGAUUUCUAUAGAAUUUACAUUAAGAAUAAAGAAAAUAAUAUUUAAUAAACAAUUGAUUAAAUCAUAUUAUUAAUAGCCUAUUGUGAGGCUAAGCCUACCUCCUUCACCCUUAGUGUAGAUAAAAUUGUUUAUUUAAAAAAAAAACAAUCAUUUGACAAUUAAUUUAAUCACAUUAUUAUCCGUGUGUGAAAGACCUUUUUUUAUAACCGGCAUUACACGCCUCUUAAAAUGUUUUGAACAUGUUUAAAAAUAGAGAAAAUAAUAUUUAAUAAAUGAUUGAUUGAAUCAUAUUAUUGCUAGGCCAUUGUGAAGUUAAGCCCACCCAUCCACCUUAGUCUAUAUAAUAUCGUUUGUUAAAAAAAAAAAUAAUCAUUUGACAACUUAUUUAAUCAUAUUGUUAUCCGCGUGCGAAAAACCUUUUUUAUUCUUUUCUUUCUUCCCACUUAUAUUUAUAUUAUAUUUUAUGAUUAUCAAAUUACCAAAUUACCCUUGUAUUAUUUGAUAUAUUAUAUUGGGCUCCUUUUGGAUCUUUUUGGUUGAGGGGCAAUUUUGUCCUAAUAUUUUUGUCGAAUUGUGUGAUCCCAAAUUUUUGUCGGCAUGCGUGACCCCAUUGGGGCGCUGGUUUUUAUUAUACUAGCCUUCAUGCACGCGCUCAUGCACGUGCGGAAGACAUUUUUGGAAUCAUGGUAUGCUAAAUGUAUUUAUAUGUAUAAAUUAAUAUAAGGAAAGUCAAAUAUUUGAAGUAAAUGAAUAAUUUUAUAUCAUUCUAGAAGAAACCUCUCAUAAAUCAAUUAAAACAGCUGAAUUCAUAUAAUAAAAUUGAUUUUUAUAGAAUUUAUAUUAAGAAUAAAGAAAAUAAUAUUUAAUAAACAAUUGAUUAAAUCACAAUAUUGUUAGUCUAUUAUGAGGCUAAACCCACUCUUCCCUCUUAAUGUAGAUAAUAUCGUUUGUUAAAAAAAAAAAUCAUUUGACAACUAAUUGAAUCACAUUCGUAUGCGGCUGCGAGAGAAUUUUUUGUAACUGGCACUACGCAUUUCUUAAGUGUUUAAAAAUUGAGAAAUAAUAUUUAAUAAACAACCGCGUGCAAAAGGCAUUUUUUUAAUCAUAGCAUACUACGCGCGACUUAGACAUUUUAAAUGUAUUUAUAUUCAUGAAUUGCUUCAACAUUUUCUUAUUUUUUUAAUUUUUUUUAUCACCAGUGCUACGUAUCACAUCCAGGCCCGGGCCCCACCACAUACCGGGCUCGACUUCACCGUAGCACGAUAUUGUCCGCUUUGGGUCUCGACCAAUUCCUCACGGUUUUGUUUCUAGGAACUCACACGAGAACUUCCUAGUGGGUCACCCAUCAUGGGAUUGUUCUCGGGUGAACUCGCUUAAUUUCGAAGUUCCGAUUGAACCCGAAGCCAGUGAGCUCCCAAAAGGCCUCGUGUUAGGUAUAGAUGAGAAUAUACAUAUAAAGCUUAAAGGAUCCACUCCCUUGAACGAUGUGGGAUGUUACAAUCCACCCCUCCUUAGGGGUUUGACGUCCUCGUCGGUACACUUCUGGCCAGGGAUUGGUUCUGAUACCAAAUUGUCACAUCCCAGCCUCGAUCCUCACCACAUAUUGGGCUCGACUCUACCGUAGCACGAUAUUGUCUGCUUUGGGCCCCGACCACGCUCUUACAAUUUUGUUUCUAAGAACUCACACAAGACCUUCACAGUGGGUCACCUAUCAUGAGAUUGCUCUCGCACGAACUCGCUUAACUUCGAAGUUCUGAUUGAACCCGAAGCUAGUGAUCUCCCAAAAGGCCUCGUCCUAGGUAGAGAUGAGAAUAUACAUAUAAGGCUUAGAUGAUCCACUCCCCUGGGCGAUGUGGGAUGUUACACUAUGCGCUUCUUAAAAUGUUUUGAACACAAUAUUCAUGAUUUUUCUUAUUUUUUUUAUUAUAUUUUUCUUCCCAAUCACGUGGGUACCAUCAGGGCCGGUCCAGAGAUUUUUGAGGCCCGGGGCGACGUAAAAAAAGUGCCAUAACUUCAUGUAAGAAAAUUAUUUAUUUUCACAUAUAAGACAUCGAAAAAAAUUAUACUUAGAAAAACACUUCAAACUCAAUAAUUUAGAAACAUAGAAAGACUAAUUUAUUUUGUAUUGAGAGAGGGAAACAAAAAAACUUCGAGCUUACAAGUAGAUAGAUGAUGAGUUUUGUUUUCCAUUUGAACAAUGAAUGUGUUUUUGAAUAAAUCGUGAGAUGCUUUUUUCUUAUUUACUAACCUUGUCAAUAUGGGACUAAAAAAUAAUGAUGUUAUCGAGUCUUUAAUUGAUAUGCAUUAUUAAUGAAUAGACACUAAAUUAAACAUUUUGAUGACACAUCAUAUAAUUUGCAAAUUUGGUCUACAUACUAUUCUUUGUUGAAUAUUAGACUUGAAUUAAAAUGAAUAUUUAAAAAUAACAACCCACAUAGCUACUAGAUAGUAACUAAAAAUAAAUUAACAACCAAACAAAAAUUUGUAAAAAUUUAAAAAAAUAAACAUGUACAUAACAUUUCGAACUUAGGACCUCUUGUUAAUUUUAAACAACAAAAAUAAUUGUUUCUAAUUAAACUUCUUGAUCUUUUAACCAAAUUUUAUAAAUUUAUACUCUUAUAAAAAGAAAUUUGUAAAAAAUGGAAAGUAAAUAAGCACACAUGGUGUUUUGAACCUCAUUAUUUUCAAAUGACAAACCACCACUUCUAGUUAAAUUUCUGUGUCUUUGAACCAAAUUUUAUAAAUUUUUACUCUCAUAAAAAUGUAUAUAAAUAUAUCACCUUAAUAAUUUUGGUGCCCCUAAUUUUUUUGGGCCCUGGACGGUUGCCCUACCUGCACUGGGCCUGGGUCGGCCCUGGGUACCAUCAACUUUGUUAUUUGUUUAUUCUUUUCUCUCUUCCCAUUUAUAUUUAUAUUAUAUUUUAUGAUGACCAAAUUACCAACUUGCCCUUGCAUGAUUUGAUAAAUUAUUUUCAACAGGUUUUGAAUUUUUUUUCUGAGGGGCAGUUUGGUCAUCAUAUUGUCAAAGGAGGCGACACCAAAAUUUUUGUCGGCAUCCAGUGACAUCAAAUUUCACUGUUCAUCACACUGGUUUCAUUGUUCACUGCCCUUCCCCCUUUAUUAUAUAGAUAGAAAGUGGGUUCAAAGAAAGAAAAUUAAACCUUAAAAAAGUAUUGCAGCUGUGAACGGGACUCUAGAAUUUAGAUAUAAAUUAAAUUUAUGAUUCGGUGUUAAUCUAGGGUUUGCUUAAAUAGCUAAAGUUUGGAAAAAUAUAUAUUACCAUCUGCUGUUGCGUAAUCCAGAAAUAAUCCAAUGCGACAGUGAUGGGUGUAGUGGGUGUGAGCAGAUCAUAGAUUCAGUUUUCCAAAUAAUUUAAGUUAAGACUUUGGCUUUUGAUUAAUAAUAAUAAUAAUAAUAAUAUUGUCACAAAAUCUAAGCACGAAAGACCACAAAAGAUAGCAAUUUCUUAUCUAACAUCCAAUGGAUUAGGUUUCGGUGGUUCUGUUGUGGGUGAAAAUUCACCUGUUCCCAUUGACAAAUCAAGGCAAUUAAGGAAGAAUAUAUACACACACACUUAUUAACAUUUUUUUAAUACAUAUAUUUUAUACUAAAUGAUAGAGGAGUGGGUUAGGCCUUACAAUGAGCUGUCCAUAAUAAUUUGGUUCAAAUUUACUUUUGCGAGAAUCAGACUUAAAAUCUCUCAUUUACGAGUGAAAAUAAAUAUCACUAAAACGUAAUACUAAGUGAACACACUUAUUAAAAUAUUAAACUAUAAUACAUAAAAAUAUCAGUUAGACCUAAAUUUUGAAGGAGCUACCAUAUACAUAAUCCAUAAUUCCAUAUGGUUGGAGAAAAAGAUAGAGUGGGAUCUAGCUAGCUAGAGUAUAAAUUCUUUUAUACUCAAUGAACGAACAAACAUAUAUACGUGGUUGGAGUCCGACCAUGCCAUGCACAUGAACAUUGACGUUUCAUUGACGCCAACAAACUCUUGGUACUUGGUAGGCUAUAUAUAACAUCUUGAAAUUUGAUGUUGUGCUUGCUUACACAAGAAAAUACCUUAUGAAUAAUAUGUCAUCGAAGCUAUUUGUCAGUGCCAGAGUUAGAAAGCUAAAUUACAAGGGACUUUAUUAGGUCAUACGAAAGAAAUUGAUAAGGAGUAUAAGGCACGAAAUUGACAAUCAAAAGAGAGGGAUGAAGCUUUAGAAAUUUUAUGGGAACGCAUGAUUGAGAUGAUUAUAUCAUAAGAGUAAUUGAUUUUUAUGUCUUAUGUUUUCACAUGGAAAGCUAAACUAAACUUGUUCAUAAGCUUAUUAUAAAAAAUUACCACAUUAGAGUUAGAAUACAAUUUUAUGUUCAUGGCUCAAAAUUGCAAAAACGUUGUCUUGCAUUUAUAUACUACAAAAACAGAAAAAUGUCAUCGAACAAUUGUAGGAUAACCAAGCCUAGUGUAUAGUUUGGCUCGCCAAAUCGAUCGUCUCAGAGCUAAUUAUGGUUGUGUUUCAUUGUUAAAUCAAGUACUCUCGAAAUAUAACAUUCUGGAUACAUUUAUUACUUUGUAUUCUCAUAAUUUAAUACUUUGAUUCCACCAUUGGAUCCUUCAAAUAAGAGUAAUGCUAGACAGACAAUUUUUUUUAUCCAAAUUUGCAAAUCAUGUGAUGCAUUACCAAUAAAAAAUAAGCACGUUAAUCAACAAUUUAACAAUAAUCAAAUCACCAACAAUCACGUCAUAUGAUUUACAAAAUGAUUUAAAUAUAUGGUCUUUCUAGCAUUACACUUGAAAUAAACUAUCACAUUAUCAAAUCAAGUAUUCGAUUGGGAAAUUUAAGGAGAGCAAGAUAAAUUUUUUAGUGUGCCGGACACACGGUCCAGUACAUCAUGUAUCAUAAUACAAUUAGUUGAAUUUUUUUUUUCAAAUUUUCAACCAAUUGUAUUAUGACACAUAGUUUACUACGCUGACACACUGAAAAAUCUUUCAAGAAAGAGAGAGUCUCCAAUGAAAGUUUAGAUUGCGAGAAAUAAGAAAUUAAAUAAUCACAAAUGGUAUUUUUUUACAUAUUUGCAUGCUUUGCUUUGGGGUUAGUUAAUUCUAUUUCUCUAAUUUUUUGCGAAUCUUUUCAUAAUUAAAGUGCUCAUGUCGACCUCUUUUUUCCUCUUUUGGUAAAGAAAAACCUCAAUUGUUUUCUGUUUUUUUUAACACAAAUUAAUUUCUGUACCAAAUUGUUAUUGAAUUAAAUGCAUCAACAUUCGUAUAUGCAUGGGAUAUUUACGUCAACUGGGUUUUUCACGACAGUUGAUAAACCGUGCAUGUUUCGAUUUUUAUUCAAAAACCCUAAUCAGUUUUCCAUAAAAUAAAAACCCUAAUCGCUUUUACCGUAAUUACUAUUAGUUUUGCCAAAUGAAAUACAAAUAUAAAAUAAUGACCCUUUUUCAAACCCCGAGCUAAGUGCACGUUAAGAAUCCAAAAAUCAAGACCAAGUGGGUGGCUGGGCGCCGCUGUCAAACAGUAAAACCAGGCAUAUUUCUACCAUUUCAUGAUUUUCUUUUGGUAAAGGCCAAUCUUCGUACCUUCCGAGGGUUUUCUAAUUUGCCAAAAACAUAAUCCAGUGUAUUAAGUAUUAUAAUUAAUUACUUAUAUUAUAAUAUUUGUUGCAUUAAGUCGUGUUGUCAACACACAAAAAGAAUUAUGGUACCUUCCAAUUUAGAAAGCAAACUCAUGGACCCACUUAUAAACUUGCAAGCAACUUCCAACCCCACCUCUAACAUUGGCAACUUUAUUCCAUACUAUAUAGUUAAUUCCCAUGCUUUAAGCUCAUCUAAAACGAAAACCAUUAUAUAAAUAAAAAUAAUCAACAUUCUACAGCUCUUUACCUAUAAUGAGUCAAAUUUUACAUCAUCAAAUUAAUGGUUUUACAUAAAUGAAAGUUUAUGUACGUAACUGUGGUUCUCUUGCUUUACAUAUAAGAAGUAAAGUAUUUUGUAAAUAUAUUAGUAAUCUUGAGCACUUGAUCAUUGCGCCUUUAUAGGUAUGUUUGCAUGCAAAUCAUAUAUUGACACGGACGUAAAAACACAUACUAGAAUCAUACAAAAAAUGUAUUGACCAAAAAAAAAAAUCAUAAAGAAAAUAUAUAUUAUGUAAUUUGUCGGUAAGAAAGAACAACUCGGAAAUAAUGACAAUAAUAAAAAUAGGGUCAUAGUCAGAGAGGAAGGAGACCAAUGUCGUGAGUAGAUCUCUCUUGACGUGGUUUCCCAAUGGUUUUUUGUAUGUAUUAUAUGCCUUUUUUCUAUCUUUGUAACACAAUUAUAGCAAAUUGCAGAUCUCUCUCUUUAAACUGUUAAUUCAUCUCUCUCUCUCUCUCUCUCUCUCUCUCUCUCUCUCUCUCUCUCUCCUGUUACAAAACACCUUCACUUUUGGCAAUUUUUCAGUAAUCUCAGCUCUUCACUUUUUCUUUCAUGGGUUCCCCCUCCUCCUCCUCCUCCUCCUCCUCCAUUUAUAUAUAAACACAAGAGCUAGAGAAAGAAAAACUUAGAGACAGAGAGAGAGAUCUUGUUGCAGAUGGGUUCUGAUAUCUUGCAAAUGGGAUUCAUUUUCUGGGUUUCUUUUAGUUUCUUGGUUUGUGCUGUAAAUUCAAAGGUGGGGUUUGGAGGAGGAAGUGUGGAAGGUACAGUCCGCAUCAAUGGCAGAGACGCCAUUGCCAAAAUCGACGACGAUUUUAUUUGUGCAACUCUUGAUUGGUGGCCACCUGAGAAAUGCGACUAUGGUACAUGCAGCUGGGGUCGUGCUUCUCUCCUCAAUCUGGUAACACACACACACACACACACACACAUUUACAUAUACAUACACAUACACAUACACAUAAUGUUUCUCUCUCUCUAGAACACCUACACCUUCAUAUGUUUUUCUUUAGAUUUGUAAAUAAUCACAAAUCAUAAAUCUUUUUAUGGCUUUGGUUUUUUUAAAAGUUUAUAUCCUCUGAUUCCAUUUUCUGUGUUUUUAGUUAAAUAACACACAAAAAUAAAUAAAUAAACUGUUCUAUUGAAACAGGUUGUUUUCUGGGGAUUUUCACAAUUAUAACUGAUCCACAAGUCUUCAAAUUUACUUUUUCUUAUGAAUUUGUAUAUGUUUUUGCCAAUGUACGAUUCAAAAUAUCCGAAAUCUAUCUUUGUUUUGUGUUUUUGUUCAUAUUUUUUAGCAUUUAUAAUGCUUUCUGAUAUUUAUGUGAUAAUUCUUGUGCAGGAUCUAAACAACGCUAUCUUGUUAAAUGCUAUAAAGGGUAGGAAUUUCUUGAUUCCAUUAGAAAAACUCGGUUUUCGAUCCGGUGUUUAUAAUUAAGAGUCGAAAAACUUGCUUAAUUCUCUGCUAAUUGUGCAGCUUUCUCACCAUUGAAACUUAGAUUGGGUGGCACAUUGCAAGAUAAGGUGAUAUAUGCUACACCAGAUAACAAGCAAAGCUGUGAUGCUUUUCAAAAAAGCACUUCUGAGAUGUUUGGUUUCACUCAGGGCUGCUUGCCUAUGAAUAGAUGGGAUGAAUUAAGCUCUUUUUUUCAGAAAGCAGGGUAAAAAAAUAUAAUCUCUCUUCCUUCUGCUGCUUGAUUAAAGUUUAGAUUUUUGAAAACAAGAGCACGUAACAUUAUCCGAUUGACGAUCUCUUCAGGGCUAAGAUUAUCUUCGGAUUGAAUGCUCUCACCGGACGAACAAUUAAUUCGAACGGGACUGCAACUGGAGAUUGGGACUACACCAAUUCGGAGUCUUUCAUCCGUUACAGCGUCAAAAACAACUACACCGUACAUGGUUGGGAGCUUGGUGAGAACGCUUUUCGCACCAAAGUGUCGUUGAACAAUGUCACAAAAGUUAUAACGUACUUGUCUAGAAAAAACUGAGUGUGUUUCAAUUCUUGGCCAGGAAAUGAAUUGUGUGGACAUGGAAUCGGAACAACAGUCUCGGCGAGUCAGUAUGUAUCCGAUACAACUGCUCUUAAGAAGAUAGUACAAGACAUCUACAAGGGCGUCGAACCAAAGCCGCUGAUCCUAUCUCCGGGAGGAUUUUUCGAUGCGAAGUGGUUCAAAGACUACACAGAUAAAACCACCACAUCCUUAGACAUUGUCACUCACCAUAUAUAUAAUCUAGGGCCAGGUAUAACUGAUUGAACAAACACAUUGCAAAACGUCCUGUUUUUCGGUUUAAUUCCCAGCUUCCUAACUGAUAUAAGAAAUCUUUGCUUUUGUAUUCUCAGGGGUUGAUGAACACCUUAUUGAAAAGAUUCUCGAUCCAUCUGUUCUUGACAGUAUUUCUAGCACAUUCAGCAACCUCCACGGCAUCCUAAAGCGUUCUGCAACUUCGGCAGCUGCGUGGGUUGGGGAAGCUGGAGGUGCUUACAACAGCGGUCGCCAUCUUGUCUCCAAUACAUUUGUAUAUAGUUUCUGGUAACUUGGCCAUAACAUCUAAAGCAUCUUCUUUCGUUCUCUUGUUUGAAUUCUAGCACGAGUCAUAUUUUCGACGUUUCAAACAGGUAUUUGGAUCAGCUUGGUAUGUCAGCAUCUUACGAUACAAAAACCUACUGCAGACAGACAUUGAUUGGAGGAAACUAUGGUUUACUCAACACUAGUACCUUCGAGCCUAAUCCCGACUAUUACAGGUAACUACAUACCGAUCUUAAUUACCUUGAAGCCGAUUUUAGACAACAUUUUAACACAUACGAUGCUUUAUCCUGGCUUUAUCCAUGCCAGUGCUCUGCUUUGGCAUCGGUUGAUGGGAAGAAAUGUCCUCGCAACGAGCUUUUCUGGACCAAAAAAGAUACGUGCUUACGCACACUGCGCAAAACAAUCUGUAAGUCUAAACCGCAGCUUCAAUAUAACGAAAGACAACAAUCAGCACUCUUUGUUUUCCUGAGCUAAUUACGAUUUCAUCUUAACAGAAGGGGAUUACGGUGCUACUGAUCAACCUGCACAAUACCACCACGGCUGAGGUCAGAGUUGCCUUCAACACUACCUGGACGCUGCGACAUAAACACAAAUCACACAAGCCUCAUAGAUCACAUGUGACCAAGCUCCAACAGGGUCCCAGAAGUUCAACAGAAAGAGAAGAAUACCAUCUAACACCGAAGGACGGAAAUAUACAAAGCCAAACCAUGCUACUCAAUGGAAACGCUUUGCGCGUAGAUUCAUCCGGGAUCAUUCCUAGCUUAAACCCUGUGUAUGUAAAUGCAUCGGAACCAAUUUUGAUCGGUCCGUCCUCAAUUGUAUUUGCUCACAUACCAUACGUAGUUCCCCCUGCUUGCAGGUAGGCAAUGCUGAAAGUGUAAUCGUUAACAUUGUUUCAAUAAGAGAGAAUACAAUUCAAUUUUCAUCCUCCAUCUUUAUACUGUUCUACUCUUAAAAGUAGCUUAAGCGGUUACUUUUGCACCCGAAGUCCUGUGUUUGGAUCUCCGCUCACCAAAUAUAGGAACCAAUUCAAAUGUUGACAAAAACUUCUGACCUUUUGGAACAUAUUUAUACCAUGUGAAGUUGUGAACUGUUAAAACAGCUGUACAAUAUCAGACUCCACCCGUCGUCGUUUGGGGGCUAACUAAGAACACUUAUUCGAGAUUACAACAACAAAAAUGUGUAUGUCAUGGAAGAUUACAUAUACAUGUGCAGUAGCUUGCCUUCUAGAUGUACAGAAAGAACCAAAUGGUGAAUACUAAGCUAAUUUCCGAACACAGGUGACACUAGUUAUACAUUGAAUGACGAAUCCCGCUAAUUGGAAGCUUCAUUCAAGAUAAAAAGACUGAACUACACGAAAGGUUAGUCUCUCUUCGAAAAGGUUUGAGGCUUACUGCUGGCGAACACCAACCAAACGACUGUACCAGUCAGGUAGAAAAAUAUUGAUGGAAUGAACAAUGAUAUCUGCAUAACACGUAAGUGAAUCAGUUCAGAUGAAGUAAUUAAAGGAUGUAAACUAUUGAAGGUUGUAAAAAGUUGACAAGCACUAACAGAGGCUACUUACACUCCAUGAAUGAGUUGAAUCAAGAAGAAAGCCGGUGAGGGCAACGCCUAUUAUUCCAGGUACCGCCCCAACAGUGUUGGUAAUACCCUGAGUGGCAAAUUUGAAUCGUCAAAUCAACUGAAUUUAUAUCUGGGUCUGUUUGAUAUACGAAAAUGCAUUGACGUAUUUUUCAUUGAUACUCAAUGUAUAUCAAGUCCAAAAGGAGAUGCACUGCAUACAGCUCUUAGUAUCAUGAUUCACGAGUCAAUUACGUCAAGAAAUGGGCACGACAAGAACUACCAAGAUAAGUCAGACCAGUGAAUUCAAUCAUGCAUGUCGAUAGAUAAAAUGACACAACACAAACUUCCACCACCCACCCUUCACACCAGAAUGAAGGUGCAUAUCACUAAAAAUCCUAACAAAGAUGCAUAUGAUAUGGAUUUGAAUUUAAGUUGAUUAAUAAUCAAGCAAAGGGAAGAGAUAGGAUACAAACAAAAAAAGGACGCUCCAUAGCAUCUUCCAGGCUUCCAGCACACUAAUAAAAAUUCGUGUGUAAAGUUUACAUACCAAAAGUAUGCUCGCAUAUUCGGGUGACAUGUCUUGAUGGGUACAAUACAAUCCUGCACGUUUGAAUAUAUUAUGACUUUGCAGCGUAGGAGAAGAACAAUUCUAUUCACCAUCCUCCAAAAUCAAGCUUCAAUUUCGAUUGAUUUGUACCUGACAAGGCAAAGCUCGAGAGGGCUAAACCACCAGUGAGAAUCCCAACAACUUCCCAAUGCGGCAAUCCUAGAUCAAGAGAUGAAAGAGUCAUGCAAGCUGCAGGAGAUAAAAAGGCAAUUGUUUGGCAAACUUUUCGGACCUACAUGUACAAAACAAGGACAUCAGAAACAUUAAGAGUGUCUAAGUGCAAAAAUUACCUUAAGCAAGUUAAGGAAUGGUGCAAAACUCAUAUUAUGAACGUCACAAGUUUAUUAUGUAUUUCACAGGUAAAAGUAGCAAUUAAAUUAACAAGCCAACACAAACAUAUCCAUACACUUGAGAAAACUGUUGAGGGCGUUUUUCAUCUUUUGGAAAAACCUAAAAAGUUUCUUCUAGAUGGAGUUUUCUGAUUCCAUCAUAUACAACAGAGUAGCUCGAUCUAAAAUCUUCUUACCGUAGUGGUUUGAACUCCAGUAGAAAUCAAGCUAUCAGCAAAUUGUGAUGCAAUGCUGGUCACAAAGAUCGAAGCCAAUGGAGGAAGGAUAGAGACCUGAAACAAAUAAAAACCCCUUGAUAUCAUACAACUAAAUAGCUUUAUAAAUUGAUAAAACCGUAUGCAGAAAUAUAAUGCUUUGAUGGGCAUACUCGUUGAAUAAGUCUAGACUUACCCAUGCAGCUUCUGUCAAAUUCAGGUUCAGCUCUUCACUGCAUAGAAAAUUACAUACUUUCCUCAGAUACCAAGUCCUCACAAACAUACUUUUCAACAAAAGAUUAGAUAACUUAUAAAUGACCUUAAGUUAAUCUAGUACUUUUCGUUUUCCUUCUAUUUCUAGACUAAGUUACGGUCACCACUGUUGGCAAGUGUCCCCACAACUUACAUUCAUUAAAUAGACAAACAAAGGAAAAGCAUACCUCUCAAUCAUUAUACAAAGUAAAAAGUCUGCAUGAAUUACCUAAAAUAGGUGGGAAGCCACGCUAGGCAAGUAUAAUGACCCCAGCUUCCACAAAAAUGAGCAUAGAUCAUUGCCCAUACAGCUGGACUUUGGAAAAAUGCUUUCCAUGGUACAUCCUAUUAAAUAAAAGUAAGUAAGAAACCAAAUUACUACACAGUAAUCGCUAUGUAAACUAUGAUAAAACUUAAAAGCAAUGAUAUAAAUCAAAAGGUUUCAGUUAUUUUCUGAAUUAGUCUAACGACAACAAUAAAGUUUAACAUUCGUCACUUAAUUGUGAGCAUUUUCCUCGUUAACACCAGCAUUGCCCCAAGUCACACAUCUACAACAGAAAAAAGAAUCACACCUUCAACGAGUCACCCAAUUCUUCGGUACUCCAUGUUUUCUUCACAUCUGUUGAUUGGGACCCUAUCAAAUAUUUCCAAGAGAAUAAAAGGAAUCAUCACUAUGCAAGAAAUUUGGUACAUGAAAAAUAAGGCACAAACAUAUGCUUGAAUAUUGAUGACCUUGUCAACAGCAUCUGGUAUAGUUACCACACUAUCCAUGACGUGAAGUAUUGACAAAUCAUUAUCAAGAUCAAGUACAAUUUUUCUUGUGAAGUAUGCUUUGUACAAAUAAAUACAUAGUCUUUGGCAGAGUCAACUUUAUUGGCAUGCAAUGUGACAAAUUUUUUUGUCAUGCAUGAACGGGAAUAUACAGUGAUAGAAUGGUGUAUAUGUCUUUGGAAAUGGUAGUGAUCAGUGUAACUGUGGCGACAAUUGUGAUUGCUCAGACAUUAGCAAAAUGGUAGCAGUUGCAUCAGAAAGAGAGACAAUGUAGUGAAGAACAAUACGAGAGAAAUGAUAAGCACAAACAAUAGUGGUGCCUUAUCAAGCAUUAAUAUUCAUAAAGUAAAAGAAUAGAGUAUUAUGAAGCUAUCUCAUGAUUCCAAAACCAAACAGUUUUUCCUUAACAAAAAAGAUAGUGACCGGAAGGCAUUGGCUACUCAAAGAAACAGGCCCUUAAUAAAAUUGACCUCUGAUUUACUAGUCAACUUUAUCUUCGGAUAAGUAAUCAACUCUGUGCAUUUUUACAUGAAAAUAAGUAAGUUUUCUCCAAACAAACAAGGAUAAUGAAUAAGGGAUUAAAUGCUCACGUGGAAUUGAUUCACCAACCCAUGAGGCUUGUCCUUCGAGAAACUGAAACCCCAGAUACCUUCAAGGCAUGUAUAUUGGGAAACAACUUGAGCAUAUUGCCAGACUUCAGUAUUUAUAACAUUUCAUAUUUUUCUAAAAGAAAAGAGGAAAAAAGAGAGCUAUUAACAAUAAAUUGGCCAAGUAAGUUCUUUUAUAAUUAAUCAUGACAGAAGGUUGGUACUUGGCAGAAAAUCAAAAAAAAGGAAAAAGAAUAUUGUUUUCGUUCCUGGCAUAUUGAUAUAAACAAAUAAAUAAGUUUUCACAUUGGACCAGAAGAAGUUAAGGGAAUUAAUUCUUCAGCAAAAAGAAAAGGAGACCACUAAUUCUGAGGUGUUUGAAACCGCUACUUACCAAGCAAUCCCCAACGAGGAAAAUAUGUAAAAUACAGAUUCCCACCCCAGAUUUUGGAUAAGGGGAGGAGCCAGAAGAAACCUGCAAGAAGUCCAAAGUUACAAAUGGGUAUCAAUGAACACGGAGUACACAACGAAUAUAGACAUAAGAAAACCAAAUCUUCUUUAAAUCUUAUCCAUGCAACAUACCCUGCCACACUUCCUACACUCAGACCACCAAAGACAAAUGCUACAGCCCGUGAACGCUCUUCCAAAGGUAUUGUCCUGCAUCCGGUAAACGAUUAUUAGGGUUCUCAAACACAAAUAAAUUGGAUCCACUAGACAACCUGAAUUUGAACAAAAUAAUGCUUCAUGAACACCACCUAUGAAUCUAUGAUGGACCAAACUAAAUAUAAGAAUGUCAUACAUGCCUGGCAAUAAGGUCAGUUGCGGCGGAUGGGGAAACGCCUUCUCCAAUACCUACCUGUACUUCAAAGAUAAGAGCUCUCAGUAAGUAACAGGUAGGUUUGAUACUCAAACCAACAAUAAGUUGGAAAUCAAGCACGAAAACAAAGGGCUAAACAAAGUUGAACUGAUUUACAAGAAUCUGUAGAAAAUAGAAUAUAUCGUAGAUAAGCGUACCAAAAUUCUGGACAAAACUAAACCAGGUGUAAAUCCAGCAACAAGAGGGACAAGUCCCGUAGCCAAAGACCAAGUUAACACUCCAAACUGAAGAACUUUUCUGCAUUAGAAGAAAAUAAUAGAUGAACAUGGCUUAUCUGUCCCGGCCAAAAGAUAAAUAAACAAGCAUUUGGGGAUUGAACCAAUCCCGCCACGGAUGAACUGCAUGGUUCUACGUGAAAAUAAAUAAGUAACAUAAUAAAAACUUGAAAUGAGCUUUUGAAAAACAAACCUCCCACUAAAUAUCUUGGCAAGCCAACCUCCGGGCAACUGACUCAAUGCAUACCCCCAAAAGAACGACGAUUGAACCAAUCCCGCCUCGGAUGAACUCCAUCCAAACUGGUGAGACAUUGGAAUUAUAGCAAUACUCAAGUUCACCUGUCAAUCCCACAUGCAAAAGGAACAAACUUAAUUCGUUUAAAACCAAAAUGCAGUAAACCCACAACCCAAAAUCUACGUUCAAUUGCAUUUUUGCAUCAAAGUUCUUUCCUUUUCACCACGAAAGCAUCAAGGUUUAAGCUGAAAAUUUCAAGCCCAUAACUUGUUCGAUGAAUGCCUAAGCGAGAAAUAAAAACAGAGCCAGCAGAGCUACAGAACUACCUUAUCCAUGUUGCAGAUGACAAAGGCAAGCGAAGUAGUCCCAAUGAGCUUGUACCUCUGAGGUAUGUUCUUCCACGGCGGCCAAUCCCAAUCAAAACCCACUUCCCCAGACCCGCUCUCCUGACUCAAUUCCCCCUCAGAAUCCGUCCCAGAACCCGAACCCGCCCGUUGGACCUUAUCCACCGGUAGCCCAUUGACCCUCUUGGUUUCCCUGACGUUUUCCCUCUCCUGAAUGCUACAAAUCACUCUCAACUCCAAGUUGUUCUUCGGAGGAAACCGAAGCAAACGACGUCGUCUGGGUGAGGAGAGGGGAGAUUGUGAGCUUGUGCUGUGUGAAAAUAAGCAGGAGGAGCACUCGGCUCUGAGCGUGAGCUUCGCCAUUUCCGUGCGUAUCUAUCCGUGACUAAAAGGUGGCAAAUUCAAUUUGGUUUCUGUAAAAUUUGGAGGAGAAGGAAGAGGAGGAGGAGGAGAAGAGGAGUGAGGAAGCGAGCUACUGCUUGCUGCUGGUGGUGCUGAAGAGUUGGGGGAAUUUUUGGGCCACGGAACGGAUUGGUUUGUGGCUCAGGAUUUGUUUUGAAUUUGGAAUUUUUUGGUGGGGCCCGCUGAAUUGGGUCCCAACUCAACUCCCGCGAAUUUGGGACUCUUAAAUUUGUUUGGGUCGUAUGAGGAGUUUGGAAGGUCCAACGAUGUUAAUUGUCAAAAACAUCCAACCCUUCUUCAAUUCGAUUCACCUGAGCCCAACUGUGUUAGAGGGUCAUGAGGGGAUGAAACUUGGUACUAAAGUUACAUGAUAAGUGCGGCUAGUAUUACUGUUUAUUAGUAUUUUUUUAUAUAUAAAUAAGAGUUUUUAAGUUUGAUUUUCACAAAUAGUAAGUGCGAUAUCAAACUAUAUAUGUCAGCUCAUUGUGAGAAAAUUGAGUAGACCUAUGUUACCCACCAGCAGGUAUUUCGCAAAUAGCGAGUUCGAUACUGAAUUUCACUUUUGUAUCUUAAUUUUCAAGUGUGGGAAAUUGGUCGUUUAGUAUGUAAACUAGUUUUCGGUGGGAAAUGUGGGUUAACUCAAUUAUCUAUUUACAAUAUGCAUUUUCUUCUCUUAGCUUAUGCGAGCUAGAUUGUCUAACUGAAUAUUUAUUUUUAUCUUUUAUGGAUGAAAAAGGAGAAUUCGAAUUUAAAAAUAAGAAAAACAUUACUUCAGAAUAAAGUAGCUUAUAACAUACUUGAAUUUGGAAGAAGCCAUAUAUCUGUUGUUUUCUGCGAAGAUGCAAAUAUUUAAUUAUUUGUAUUGUCACGAGCUUUCCGGUAGAAAAGGUGAUGAAUAAAGAGUAAUGUUAUGGAAAUUAAAUUUAUGGAUUAAAUUUUGAAAAUUAAAAGACAUGGAAAUUGAUAAUUGGUUUAUUACUUACACGUUGAUAAACAUGCUUAUUCUUAUUGGUGAUAUAUUAUUUAGUUUACAAAUUUAGUCAUCAAAUUUGAUCUACUUAGCGUUACCUGAUGAAUAAAAUAUGCUAAUGAAAGUGCCUUGUUGCUGGAAUCCUUCGUCUUUUCUCGUGCAAGUAACCUUAAAAUAGUGAAUUAAAACCUUAAAAUAGUGAAUUAAAAGUUGAUCUGCAUGUCCUUUGUUAUGAGUAGAAGGAACCAAAUCAUAUAAAUUUUGAGUAGAAAAUUAUUUAAGUUUGUGUGUGUCUAUAUAUAUAUAUAGAGAGAGAGAGAGAGAGAGAGAGAGAGAGAGAGAGAGAGAGAGAGAGAGAGAGAGAGGAAACUUUCAAGGGAGGGUUUUGGGGGGUGGACGAACAGGGUUCGGUUUUUGUUUUUUGUUUUUUUUUUUUUUUUUUCUCUUCUUCCUCCUCCUCCUCCUCCUUCUUAUAUAUAUAUAUAUAUAUAUAUAUAUAUAUAGAGAGAGAGAGAGAGAGAGAGAGAGAGAGGAAACUUUCACGGGAAGGUAUACCCAAUUUUUUUAUAAAAAUGAGAAUUAGUUGUAGGGUCUGCACCAUAUCGAAUUUUAAUGAUCCGAAUCGUUUAUUUUUUAAGUUGCACUUCAUAUAUCAUCCUUAUAUAUAUAUAUAUAUAGAGAGAGAGAGAGAGAGAGAGAGAGAGAGAGAGAGAGAGGAAACUUUCAAGGGAAGGUAUACCCAAUUUUUUUAUAAAAAUGAGAAUUAGUUGUAGGGUCUGCACCAUAUCGAAUUUUAAUAAUCCGAAUCGUUUAUUUUUUAAGUUGCACUUUAUAUAUCAUCCUUAUAUGAAAGGGUCUGAUCAACUGCCCGGCCACCUCUUUAGCUCAUCUCUUGUCAACAUACUUGAAUUUGGAAGAAGCCAUAUAAAAUAUGGAGGCAUAUCUGCUGAUUUUCUGCGAAUAUGCAUAGAUAUUGAUUAUUUAUAUUAUUAUGAGCUUUCCGGUGGAAAAUGUGAUAAAUAAAAUAUGCUAAUGAAAGGGCCUAGUUGCUGGAAUCCUUCGUCUUUCUCGCGCAAGUUUCCUAAAAAUAACGAUGUAAAAGGUGAUCUGCACGUGCUUCGUUAUGAGUAGAUGGGACCAAACCAUAUAAAUUUGGACAGAUAAUUAUUUAAGCUUAUGGAUGGGAUGCGUUUAAUUUAUGAUUGAUUAGAUAUUGAUCUUGAAAAGUCAUGAUUUCUAAAUAUAAACCCAUAUAAUUAAACAUCUAACAAAAAUCUAACAGUCAAAUAAAUUGCCACAUAAUAAUAUAAGUAACCUAUUACUACAAAUUAUUUACAAUUUUUGCCACAACCCACACUUGAAAAUUAGCUUCAAUCAAGGGCCUUAUAAUCUAAUUAAUCAUCCUGAUGUUUUUUCACUUUAUUUAUUUUUAAUUUCUACAACAUUCUAGUGCAUUACUUUAAAUCAUGACUACAUUACUAUUCGGUGUAAAUUAUUCUCCUUAUAUAUAAUAUUUAAACGUCUCUACUUUACCUAUAUAAAUAAUAUCACACUAUAAUAUGUAAUUUACCUACAAUAAAUAAACCAAAUAUUCUCAUAUUUCUUUUGGCAAUUUACCUAUGAUAUAUGCAAAUAAUAUUCUCAUGUUUUAUUGGCAUUUUUCCUAAAUUAUGCAAGUAGGUAAAUUUCAAUAAUAGUAGGUAAAUUAUGUUCGUGAUUUACCUACAUUUUUUAUGUGAAUCAAAUAUCUAGAUUGUAUAUGUAAAUAAUUUACGUAUAGUUGGUUCUUUUCUUUUUCAUUGUCCUAAAAUUUAUUUACGUGCAAUUUUUAUCUUCUUUAAUUUAUAUAUUUUUAUUUUGACAACAAAUUUUUUUAUAUAUUUUAAAGUACAAUAAUUUACCUAUAUAUAAUAUGGACAUGUUGUAAUGGUAAAUUGGAAUUCGAGAGCCAAACUAACCAACAAAUCCCUACAUUUAUAUGCAAAAUAUUAUUUUUGUAAAAUCAUUAAUUCCCCGUUACAGUUUGCAUAGAAUUAGCUGUGUACAUUAAAUAUUCAAUAAGGGUGUUUUAGGCAUCUGAAAAUUUUUAAAUGGGUAAAGUCAAACAUAAUUAAAGAAUUUGCUUAUGUGGAGUCUAGUCAAUGGGUUUUAUUCGAGCAAAAAAUUUAUGUCGGGUUUUAUGUGGAGAAUUAAGUUUCAGGAACUAAAGUCAUAUUUUAAGUUUAAUUUAUGACCAAGAAUGAUUAUCGUGGAAAAUAAAUUUUGAGUAAAUUAUUUGAGCUUGUAUGUACACGCGCGCGCGCGCAUAUAUAUAUAUUCCCCAGCAGUGGAUUAAUAUCGGUCACAGAUUGACAGAGAGAAAAUGGCCAUGACCAAUGUCCAAGAAAUGUCUAUGAAUGGUGAGCAGCCACCUGCUGAAUAUAUUGUUAAAGAAAGUAGGUUUGGAUCCAUAGAUUCUUCUCCACCAUUGGCUGAUGAAAUCCCCAUUAUUGAUAUCAGUCUCUUCUCCCCAUUAUCUGCUCAAUAUUCUGAACAAGCAGAAAAUCAUGAGCUACAGAAACUCAGAUCAGCACUCAGCUCGGCAGGAUGCUUCCAGGUUUCCAUUUUCUUUUUCUUGGUAUACUAUUAUAUAUGUUAAAGUAUAUUUUGCUGUCUCUGUAUUCUCCAUGUUACCAUGUUAGACAUGUAAACGAAUCGGACUCGACUACAUCUUAUCCAAUCUAAUCCAAUUCAAUCCAAAGAAGAACAUAAUUUGAUCCGAUCUGAUAAUCUGAUGUUUUUUCGUUGAUGAAAUUGGACGGAUUAUGGAUAAACAAGUUCAUAUCUGAUUAACUGAACUAAUGGAAUUCAAUAUUUAUAUUCAUGAUUUAAUGAAUUCAGGCAAUAGGCCAUGGGAUUUCGGAUUCACUUCUUGACAAGGUACGUGAAGCAGCAAAACAAUUCUUUGCACUUCCAGUAGAAGAGAAGGAAAAAUACUCCCGCGCAGUUCAUGGCGGAGCCGAAGGAUAUGGGAACGAUGUCGUAGUAUCGGAAAAGCAAGUUCUUGACUGGUCCUAUCGUCUCACUCUCAGGGUCUUCCCAGAAACCAAAGAAGGCUUCAUCUUUGGCCUCAAAAUCCAAAUGAUUUUGGGUACGUCCGUACACUUUAGGGUUUGCAUUACUAUUGCCUGCCUUGAGGAUUAUAUAGCUAGUCUACUAUGGACACAUCUUGCAGAGAUUUUUCAGUGUGUUGAAAAUACAGCUCGGUACAUUAAGGGUGCGUUUGGUACGGAACGGAACGGAACGGGACGGGACGGGACGGAACGGGAAGGGACGGGACGGAACGAAGGUGUAAUUUUUGAAAAAGACAUGGGGUAUAUUUGUCUUAAAAUGGUAAAACAUUGUGUUCCACAGACGUGGAACAAACCCGUUCCAGGGGGGGAGGUGGAACGCAAAAACACCCAAAAUCUGUCCCGUGGAACAACCCGUUCCACCCAUUUUUGGCGCACCAAACGCGGGACGGAACGCCUCGUCCCGUUCCGUCCCGUCCCGUCCCACGUACCAAACGCUCCCUAAGUGUAAUUAUACAAUUGGUUGGAAAUUUGAACAAAAUAUUUAAACCAAUUAUAUUAUUACACUUUGUGUAGUGGUCCAUUUUUCCGGCACCCUAAAAAAUUUCUCCACAUCUUUAUAAUUGACGGAAAAUCCAUAAAUUAACAUUCAAAUAAGAGAAUAUUAUAAUUUGUAGAAAGAUGCUAAUGGGAUAUGGUAUUCGUUGAAGCAAGUUGCGACUGUCACUUUGAUAUAAUUGGACAAAAUCCACAGAUUAAUAUAUAACAUAUCUAUGAAUGUGUGUAUAAUUUGCAGAGAGAUGUUACAUGAAUAUGCAACGAAGGUAAAGUUGAUGAUGGGUAUUGUGUUCAAGGCAAUGGCAAAGUCGUUGAAUUUGGAAGAUAACAGCUUUGCAAAGCAGCUGUUUGGAGACCAAUCCCUGAUGCAAGCAAGGUUCAACUUCUAUCCUCCGUGCUCGAGAUCUGACCUCGUCCUCGGCGUCAAGCCUCACACGGAUAGGUCCGGCGUGACAUGUCUCUUGCAAGACAAGGAUGUGGAAGGCCUUCAAGUUUUGAUAGAUGGAAAAUGGGUUAGAGUCCCCAUUGUUCCUCAUGCUAUCGUUCUUAAUCUUGGCGAUCAGAUGCAGAUCAUGAGUAAUGGUAUUUACAAGAGCCCAAUGCACAGGGUGGUGACAAAUGGAGAGAUUAUGAGGCUAUCAGUUGCCUUGUUCAAUGAACCCGAUCCUGAAACCCAGAUUGGUCCCGUCGAGGACUUGAUCGACGAGACAAGGCCGAGGUUGUACAAAAAUGUCAAGAAUUAUGGUCGUAUUAACUACGAAUGCUAUCAGAGAGGGGAAAUUGCACUCGAAACAGUCAGAUUCUAAUUUUUCUGCACACUAGCUAUCUUAAUUUUCCUGUUUUACGUGAACCUAAUAUAUGCUUAUCUUUCGAAACAACAAUUAUUCCAUGGACAAGGGAUAUUAUCUGUUUUUUAAUUCAGGAUAUGGUGUUUACAAUUAUCCUACGUGAACCUUGUGAAUUGGGUUAAUUAUAUUUUUUUAAUAGUUCUAUGAUGUGAAAAUACGUGGUAGUAUCUUGUUUAUGACAAUAAGACUUCGAUUCGAUAGAUUCUUGUGUGUGAAAAUUUGUUUAUAUUUUUCAUUAAUCAACGUAGAAAAGUUUGAGAAAGAAAAAAAAUUAAUCAAAAAAACUUUGACUAAUUCUUUUUAGAUAAUGUUAGGUAGACUAUCUAUUUAAACUAUAUUAUUUUGUAAAUAAUAUAAUGUGGUUGUUGAUUAUUGGAUUAAUUUUUUUAAUAGAGAGGGCGUUUGGAAUGUGCAAAAGGUGCAGUUGCACAAGGUAGGGCCCUGAAUUUCUGAGGGCCCCACAUAUUUUUAUCCUCCUAUACAUUACAUAUGAGUAUAAAUUUUCUAAUAAAAAUAUUUUAACUGAAAAAUAAAAAAUCAUCAUCAUAUGAUUUUAUCUAUAUUAUUAUUACAAUUGAUUAAGUGGAGCAUAUACUUAAUAUAUUAACUUUCUACUUUUCUUUAGCAGUAAAAACACUUGUGUUAUUUUCUUCCACUUUCUUUUAAUAAUAAAAAAUUAACUUGUGUAUUACUUUCUUCCACAUACACAAGCGUAUUUCCGUAUCUCUCUUCCAGUCGUGCUCCACUUUUUCAUGUAUGAACCCUAAAUCAUGAUGAUUUCAUGCAAUCAGAAUUAUUCAGCUAGUAAGAGUGAGAUGCUAAUUUCAAUUAAGUUAGAAUAUUGAUUGUUGGAUUCUGUAUGAAUGUAUUUUAAAAAAAAAUUUCUUAAAUAAGGAGGCCCUUUUCAUUAAAUUCGCAUAGGGCGUCCCAAUGUCAGAAAUGGUAUACUUAAGUGUUGAUUAAUAUAUUUAUUUUAUAUUGAUGACACAUCACCUGAUUUACAAAUUUGGUAUAAAAAGUUGCUCUACCUUGCAUUACUCAUUGUUUUUUUCUUUCUUGUGAUGGAUCAAAAUCAAUGUUGAUGGUUCUUUCUGAUGAAAUUGAAGUUCCACCAUAAAACCAAUUGGUAAUAUGGGGAGUAGCCUAAGACCAUAUAAGCACAUAGCAAACCUUGUCCCUCACCGAUGUGGGACAACUCUCAACACGCCCCCGCACGUGUGGCGGAUUUUCAAGCCUACACGUGGACAACAACUGGGUGACGUGGAGCGUGUCGCCGUUUGGCUUCACACGAGAACAAUCUGCUCUGAUACCAUGAUGAAAUUUGGGUUCCACCAUAAAAUCAAUUGGUAAUAUGGAGAGUAGCCCAAGACCAUAUAAACACAUAGCAAACCUUGUCCCUCACUGAUGUGGGACCACUCUCAACACGCCCCCGCACGUGUGGUGGAUUUUCAAGCCUGCACGUGUGGUGGAUUUUCAAGCCUGCACGUGUGGUGGAUUUUCAAGCCUACACGUGAACAACAACUGGGUGACGUUGAGCGCGUGUGGCCGUUUGGCUUCACAUGAGGACAAUCCGCUCUGAUACCAUGAUGAAAUUGGGAUUCCAUAAUAAAACCAAUUGGUCAUAUGAGUAGUAGUCAAAGAUCAUAUAAGCACAUAGCAAGCAUUGUCCUUCAUCGAUGUGGGACAACUCUCAACACGCCCCCGCACGUGUGGCGGAUUUUCAAGCCUACACGUGGACAACAACUGGGUGAUGUGGAACGUGUGUGGCCGUUGGGCUUCACACAUGGACAAUCCGCUCUGAUACCAUGAUGAAAUUGAGAUUCUACCAUAAAACCAAUUGGCAAUAUGGGGAGUAGCCCAAGACCAUAUAAGUGUUAACUACAUUGUAACGUUUGAGAAUUGAAAGAAAAUCAAGAAGGAAGAUGAAGAGAAGAAAGAUCAACACAUAGAGUUUUAGAGAGAGAGAGAUCUAGAGAGAGAAAUAUGCUUUUGUAUUGAUUAAUUGAAUGAAGGUAACACAACUGUUUUUAUAAGAGAAAGCUUAACUACUCUAACCAAAUACUAACAACCUUACUAAAUAUAUUACUGACUGUAUUUCUAGCUUUAUUACACUUGUACCUUUAAUACUUCCCCUCAAUCUCAACUGGGGUAUCCCAUUUUGAGAUUGCAGCAAAGUCUCAAAUAGCAAACACUGAAAUAUGGACAAAUGGACGCACUGCAAAUUGAUCCUGAGCUUGAAAAUGCAUUUAGCUGUCACUUGCAGGACCAUUGGUUUUGUAUCCGGAAAGUGAGUGGAGAGUGGUAUAGUUUUGACAGUCUUUAUGCGGCACCAUUGCACCUCUCAAAUUCUCAACCGCAAUAUCAAAUUCCAAAUUUCAUUUUUUCUUCACCAUAAGUGCACCAAAAACCCAUUUCUUCUCAACUCUCUCAUGGGUUUCUGUAACAGUGAAAUCACAUUCAACUGCAUAAUCUGCACCUUUCUCAAAUUGAUAGGUAUCCAUAUUCAACAUGCUACUUGCACAGCUACUUGCUCACUAAACUGACAGGUAUUCAGAAUUUAAAUCCAUACUGUGUAGCUACUGUUCUCUUUGCUCAUCCCAUUAUCAUCACACAUCAUUUUUGCAGAUACAAUCUUCCAAAAAGAGAAUGUUCUCCAAUAUUUCUUUCAACAUACUCAGCAAGAUUAUGGAGCCAUUUUGUAUGCAAAAGCCUUUGUUUCCAAUAGAAUACAGAAUCAAAGAAUAGCCUUUUAUAAAGUUGUAACACACCCUCAUGCCGGUUAUAACAAUUCCUUGCGGGAUUACCCUUUACCGUCAUCAACUUCAUUUAACAUUGGCAUUGGCCUUUAAAACAAAAAAUUAACAAACUAUAGUGUGGCAUCGACCUUAACUAUAGUACCACGGGAUCGCCCUUUGUGGAUUUUACCAAAAAACAACUACGGCCUUAACAAUUUCAACAACAACAAAAUCAACAUCUAUGUAGGAUUACCUUUCGUGGGAUUUACCUACUCACAUCACGGAAUUACCCUUCGUGGGAUUUACCAUUUAACAACUUCUUCUACCCUUUGUGGGAUUUACCUAUUCACAUCACGGAAUUACCCUUCGUGGGAUUUACCGUUAACAACUUCUUCAAACUUCAUUGUAUAACCAGACUUACUGUAGAUUCAUGCUAACAACUGAGUUGGUUAGACUUUGAAAUUAUAGGCUGAGAUAAGCUGCUGAACAAUUUAAACCCAAUGACAAGACAUCAGAAAUUCAAGGACUUACAGAGUAACUUUACCAGCAGGACACUACUUUGUUGGCUAUUCGAAGAAAAAAUAAUCUCAACUCAGUGUAGUUGCACCGACAUGAUACCAUAAUUGCGUACUGAUCAGCAGUUGAAGUACUCUUCUUUCCUUCAACAGUUCAGGUGCAGACUAAUUCAAGGCAUCCAGUUGAAAAACAGUGCUAGAAAUUGUUCAGAGAUAAAAUAUUUCUCAAAUUCUCAUGGAAUGCAAGUCAGUUAAAUGCCUCCCUCUUGUGUGGUAGCUUUGGAUCAAGAAAGGGAGUACUCCUCAGUUCCUGAAUCUUUGGUUCUUGAGCAAAAAAAGCCCAAAAAACACAUUGGAGUUCGGCAACCAUUCAAGAUAACACAACGAAAGUAAUCAGGGUCGGGUGGGUUGCAAGUGUGUGCGUGAGUGCAAGCAUGUGUCUCCUUAAACAGGUCAUCGAAGAAGCUGUCCAUUGAGCAACUACUCGCAAGUUCACCGCCCAUGUUUGCACCCGGAAACACCUCUUGGUCGUCCAUUAGGGUGAAUAACAUGAAGACCAAAUAGGAAUAAGCUCCAACCGAGUGAAAAAGCACCAAAAUUUCAAAAAAACUUGGCCUCGACCCAGACCAAAUUUCUAGCACGAUACUCUUAACAGACUGAAAUUAGAGAAACCCAUAUGAAAAUUUGAGGUUCUUGAUUCCUGUUCUGCACGAACAGAGCGAAAUCCACCGAAUCAAUCACGACCCAGAUAAGAAUUCAACAACCCAAAAAUCUAAAAUCGAUUAGAAAUGGUUGAAAAUGAAAGAUUCCCAGCGCGGACGAUUAACAGUAGGAGCAAUUCAAAAUGGUAAAAUGAUAAAAUUGUAGAACUAUUCAAAAGAGUAAAAUGAUGAAAACGAUGAAAUCUAAUGAAAAAUGGAACCACCAGAAUCCAUGGCGUGAGCCUGGUGGCUCUGAUACCAUGUUAACUACAUUGUAACGUUUGGGAAUUGAAAGAAAAUCAAGAAGGAAGAUGAAGAGAAGAAAGAUCAACACAGAGAGUUUUAGAGAGAGAGAGAUCUAGAGAGAAAUAUGCUUUUGUAUUGAUUAAUUGAAUGAAGGUUACACAACUGUUUUUAUAAGAGAAAGCUUAACUACUCUAACCAAAUGCUAACAACUUUACUAACUAUAUUACUGACUGUAUUUCUAACUGUAUUACACUUGUACCCUUAAUAAUAAGCACAUAGCAAACCUUGUCCCUCACCGAUGUGGGACAACUCUCAACACUUUCUGUGCUGCCACGGAUACUGAGGGUAUUGGUGUGGUUUUUUGCGACGAAGCCGGUAGCUAUGCUGGAGGUUUCAAUCGUAAAAUAUCGCACAUGACAAACCCCAAGACGAUUGAGCUUUUAGCUGCUCGGGAUGGUGUUUGUUGGGAAUUAAAUCAACAUUGGCAGCAGGUAUUAUUGGAGAGUGAUGCUUUACAAAUAGUUCAAGCAAUUUGAAGUCUGAAGGAGGAGAUCCACGGCCUCUGAUUUGUUGAUUGAGGACAUUAAAGUAAGUAUGAGGGGCUUUGUUUCCUCUCAAGUAUAUCAUAUCCGUAGAUCCGUCAAUGUUGCAGCACAUCGUAUGGUCAAGUUGACUUUAAUUUCCAAUUUCAAUUUUUGUUGGUUUGAGGAACCUCCAGAUUUAUUGGCGGAUGUCAUCCUUGAAGAUUGUAUGCCUUCUUCCUAGUUAUAAAUAAAACCACUAUGGUUUCUUUUCCAAAAAUAAAUAAAUAAUAAUAACAGUAGUGGGUGAACAAGAAAAUGUACCCAAAGAAAAAGAAGAGAAAAUGUUAAAUUUAUUGACAAAAAAUAUGAAGAAAAAAAUGAGUAUUAUUUAAAAAUCGAGGUGUAAAUUAAAAAAAAAAAUACUUUUGGAGGAAUAAGGAAACAAACAGAGAUAAUUUUGAAUUAAAAAGGAGAUAAUGUUGUUGACUAAAUUAAUUACCAAUAAUUCAUAACUAAUAUCCCGGCAAAGGAAAUAAAAAUAAAACCUAUAACUAAAAGGAAAAAUUUGAAAAUAAAUAUAGGCCUUUUUUAUUGGCACCCCAUAAUGUUAUGAAUACACCCCAUUAUCUUGUAUUUAGUCUGAAUUUCCUUUUCUACUGUCACAUCCUAGACCGGCUUCGCCGUAGCAUGAUAUUGUCCGCUUUGGACCACGCCUUCACGAUUUUGUUUUUAGGAACUCAUGAGCAACUUCCCAGUGUGUUACCUAUCCUGGGAUUGCUCUAACCCAAACUCGCUUAACUUCGGAGUUCUGAUGGAAUCCAAAGCCAAUGAGUUCCCAAAAAGCCUCGUGCUAUAGGGAGGUGGGCAUGUACAUAUAAGGCACAUCACCCCCUAUCCGUUGGUUGAUGUGGGAUGUCACAAUCCACCUUCCUUAAGGGCCCGACGUCUUCGUCGGCACACCCGCACCACACGACAUAGUGGCUCUAAUACCAUUCUGUCACAUCCCAGUCUCGGCUCCGUCAUAACACAAUAUUGUCAUCUUUAGGCCCCGACCACGCCCUCAUGAUUUUGUUUUUGGGAAUUCAGACGAGAACUUCCCAGAGGGUCAUCCAUCAUGGGAAUGCUCUCGCCUGAACUUGCUUAACUUCGGAGUUCCGAUGGAAUCCAAAGCCAAUGAGUUCCCAAAAUGCCUCGUGCUAAAUGGAGGGAAGCAUGUACAUAUAAGGCACAUCACCCCCUCUCCGUUGGUCGAUGUGGAAUCUCACAAUCCACCCCCCUUAAAGGCCCGAUGUCUUCGUCGGCACACUCGCACCACACGGCAGAGUGACUCUGAUACCAAACUGACAUACCCCGACUCGAAAAGUCCAAUUGGACUUCGAAUCGAGUUGUGCUGGCCUAUAGGGUGACGAAGCCAUAAAGUGUAGUGUAGUGGAAAAAGAAUGUGAAUAAAUUUAAACAUAAAAGUGCCUAAACAAAAGAGUGUGCGGGUGAGCGGGAUUGCAUCUAUUUCACACGUGAUGGUAGAGCAUAAAAACAAUACAGUAAUUAGGGUGAGGGUUAUACCACUGAAGAUAACUAUCUCCUGAAAUUUGCCAGAACCCUCGUUUACACGUAAGCCCAACUACUAAACCUGAAAGGGCGAAAAACAAAGUUGAGUGGGUCAACAAAACAACGUUUGUAAGGCAAACCUUUAUUUUCGAACAUAAUAACCCAUCGCUAUAAAAUAAGUAUAGUUUCCUUAAAAUCAAACAUACUACAAUAUAAGUAUGAAGAAUCAAGCGCAUGCCAACAAUAUAUAUAUCUCAGAAAUGUGCCAAAACAUUAAUAAUUCAGCCACAAUAGAAAUAUAGGCAUGUGUUUGACAAUAUACUAACACGCAAGUAUAUACUAACAUCAGUCUAUAGUAACACACGAGUCGGAGUCACCUAAUGUGACAUGUACAACAAGCUAGGUGUAAUAAUAGACGCUCUAGUGCUACGAUCACCUAAAGCUUGCUCUAAGCGCAGUCAACUACAAGUCGAACCUUCCGAGUUGGUGAGUAAAAAAUUGUUACAUCCCAGACUCGACUCCGUCGUAGCACGAUAUUGUCAGCUUUGGUCUUACCAUUCCCUCACGAAUUUGUUUCUGGGAACUCAGACAAGAACUUCCUAGUAGGUCACCUAUCAUAUGAUUGCUCUCAUCCGAACUCACUUAACUUUGGAGUUCCUAUGGAAUCCGAAGUCAAUGAGUUCCCAAAUAGCCUCGUGCUAUAUAGAGGUGGACAUGUAUAUAUAAGGCACAUCACCCCCUUUUCGUUGGUCGGUAUGGGAUGUCACAAUCCACCCCCUUAGGGGCCCGACAUCCUCGUCGGCACACUCGCACCACACGACAUAGUGGCUCUAAUACCAUUCCGUCACAUCCCAGACUCGACUCCGCUGUAGCACGAUAUUGUUUGCUCCGGGCUUACCAGUCCUUCACGGAUUUGUUUUUGGGAACUUAGACGAGAACUUCCCAGUGGGUCAUCAAUCCUAGGAUUCAUCUCGUUCGAACUUGCUUAACUUCGGAGUUCCUAUGGAAUCCGAAGCCAAUAAGUUCCCAAAAGGCCUCGUGUUAUAGGGAGGUGGGCAUGUACAUAUAAGACACAUCACCCCCUCUCCGUUGGUCAAUGUGGGAUGUCACAUCUACCCUAAUUUAAAUUAGAUAAAAGCAAACAAACAAAACCAGCACCAUCUUCAUCAUCCUAAAUCCUACUCAUUUUCGAUAGCUCCCCACCUUGGCACCUCCAUUAACAAAAUGAUCUCAAGUAUGCCAAAACAUAUGCCGACUUACAAUUAAACUAGCCAAUAGUCUCAUAGAAAGUCAAUUCCUAGUUGACACAGAAGGAUUGCUUCUCUGCAAGUAACAUUUUUCAAAACUUUCACGGCCAUGAAGUUGGUAUCCUUGAUUAGGCUAAUAUCGACAUUAUAAAAUUUAAUUUUAUGGUAUUUCAUAUCCUGCAAAAUAUUAGCGGAAGUGAGAAUUCUAGAGAGAGAGAGAGAGAAUAGCGAGAAAUGGGGUGGUUAUCAUUGGCCGACACCGACUAAAAGGUGGCAGAAGGGUGAGCGGUUGAGAUAGGAUGUUAGAAGGUUUUAAUUUCUUAACUAUUAUAAAAUGGUGGUCUUAAACAAUGAAAGGGCUAAUAUUGGAAUUUUAAAGAAUAAUUUUGAAGUUUGGAUGUAUUCAUAAAAUUAUGGGAUGUUAAUAAAAACACCCUAAAUAUAUGGCAUCUUGGUUUUAAAAAACAAAAGUUCCAUAUAAAUAAAUUAAAAACAAAUAUGUUGACAUGGCCUUUAGUCAAAGCGCCUUGAUUAAAGUUUGAAACGGAACGAAUGUUUAAUAAAAAGAGGUAAAAGAUGAGUGAGGGAUUUUACUUAUCUCUUAUUUUAUAUAGGUAAGUAGAAGUUCUCACAAUAGAGUGUUUGAUAUCAAAUUAUUGUCAGUUUAUUGUGAGGAAGUUUUUUUUAUUUAUUUAUUUUUUUAAUUUUUUUUAUAAAGGGGGAUAACUGGUGACAAGUCACGGUUAUUCAUCCCUUUCGGGGGUUGGGAAGACUCACAGAGGCAUUUCCUAGCCACAAGUCUGGCUUCUACACUAGUAACGGGUUUCGAACCCAAGACCUCUAGUUUUUAGUUUUAAGGAAGUCUCGUAAUCCGCCCUAUGUUACCCACCAACAAAGUAGUUCACAAAUAACGAGUUCGAUACUAAAUUUCACUUUUCGUCUCUUAAUUUUCAAGUGUGGCGAAUUUUGUUUGUAUAGUAGGUAAACUAGUUUUCGGUGGGUAAUGCGGGAUAACUCAAUUUUCAAAAGUAAAAGGUGUUUUAGAUGCACAUGGUUCCAAGUUGGAAUAAGUUCGGUAGCGGAUCAUGAAAUCUUAGUGAUAUUCUCUAUCUAAUGAAUAAGGAGACUGCUUUGAAAUCGUCUACCCUGCACCCACCCCUCAAGUAUAUGCUUCAACAAGAAUCACACAAGGUAGAUUGAUACAAUAGAAACCUCUGUAAACUUCCAACCCGUAAUCCAACUGAUAAAGUACAUUACAUAGUUCGUUUUAGGGAUUGACGACUUACCCGUUUAGUGACUUUAGUAUUUACCGUUUUUGGAAUGGAUAGCAUUUGACGUUUUUGGAAUGGAUACUAUCGUGGAUUCAUUAGAAUUGUAUAUCAUUAUAUUCUUUUUAUAUCUUUCUCUCACCCUUCCAUUUAUAUAUUAUACUUUAUAUGCUUUACAGCUCAUAAUGUAUUGCUUUACAACCCAUAAUCAGAUUUUUUUUUAAUGCAAAAAAGAUUUCAAUUGCUACAAUGAUAUGACUUAUAUAUCAUAUCUUGAUUGGCUUCUUUGCUUGCUUUUCUCGAUCAAGCAUUCAUGUGCUCAGCAAAGAGGUAAUAGCAUUUGGGAUGACAAUAAAUUAUUAUUUUUCGUUAAUUAAUUAUUUUAGUAUUUAAUAUUUUGAUUAAAUUAUUAUUUUUUAAAUGCAUAGAAAAAUUAUUAUUUUUGCCACGUGACACAAAUUUGGUAGUCACGGCAGCACAAAUGUGGAUCCCAUAUUUGCCACAUCAUCACUUAACGGUUUACUUAAUGGAUUUUCUAAUGUACGUAUGAAAUUGAAAUAAAAUGGUAAGUAUAUAUAUGAAAUUGAAAUGUUUUAAAGAUGUUGUAUGAGAUUGUAGUCGACCCCAAACCUAAGGGGGUAAAAUGUAAUAUACCCUAAAUUAUUUGAGCUUUGUGUGUAUGUGUACACACACAUAUAAUAUAUAUAUAUAUAUAUAUAUAUAUAUAUAUAUGUAUGUAUUUAUAUAUAUGUAUGUAUGUAUGUGUGUGUGUGUGUGUGUGUGUGUGUGUGUGUGUGUAUUCCCCAGCGGUGGAUUAAUGUGUGUGUGUGUGUGUGUGUGUAUUCCCCAGCAGUGGAUUAAUGUCGGUCACAGAUUGACAGAGAGAAAAUGGCCAUGACCAAUGUCCAAGAAAUGUCUAUGGAUGGUGAGCAGCCACCUGCGGAAUAUAUUGUUAAAGAAAGUAGGUUUGGAUCCAUAGAUUCUUCUCCACCAUUGGCUGAUGAAAUCCCCAUCAUUGAUAUCAGUCUCUUCUCCCCAUCAUCUCCUCAAUAUUCUGAACAAGCAGAAAAUCAUGAGCUACAGAAA